UUGUUUUAUCUUAUUUACUCUUUGUCGUUGCUAGAGCACCUGGAGCUUCUAAAGAGGUUAGGUUCGAAAAACUAUUUUGAAGAAGCACUAACAGUAUAUAUAUAUAUAACUCUAUAUAUAUAUAUAGAGAGAGAGAGAGAGAGAGUCCGGCUGCUAUACUAUCGGUAGCACGGAGGCUUCUGUGCUACCAAGUUGUUUUCGAUGAUGCGGCUUUUAAAUCGACGAUUAGUUCCGUUAGAUUUGAUUUACACUAUUGAAAGUAUUUGGAAAUUAAAUUUCAGAAUUCUUCGACAUUAUUUGGCUAAUGAUUAAAAAGGUCUCAAAAUUGACAAUUUUAAUAAUAGAUGUGAUGCAUUUGUAAAUUUAAUGGUGUAAAAUAAUUCAAUUCAGAUGAAAUUUUUAUAGAAUUUUUUUUUUACUAUUUAGAGUAAGAUCAGUACCUCUAAUCUUAAAUUCAAGUCUUCUAUCAUCAUUUUUAUGAGAAUUUUAUUUACAACCGUUUAUUUUUAGACUACUCGUUUGAUAGGUAAUGUACCGAAAGAUUAUGAAAUUUAGUUUCCAAAUACUUUCAAUAGUGUAGAUCAAGUCUAACGGAGCCGAUCGUCGAUUUGAAAGUGACAUCAUUGAAAACAACUUUGUAGCACGGAGGCAUCCGUGCUACCGAUAAUAUAGCAGCCUAGCUCUCUCUCUCUUUCUCUCUCUCUCUAUAUAUAUAUAUACAUAGAGUAGGGCUACUAUCCUCUUAAUAAGAUAGCAGCCNGAAGAGAAAUUAGGUGUUUCAAUUUCUAACCACCCAUCAGAUUUGAUGGGAAUUUCUCUUCAAUAUCUCCUUCCUGUCUCAUUCUAAUCACUCAUCAGAUUUGAUGGGUGGUUAGAAUGUUAGGAGCACAAGGGCUGUUGUGCUCCUAAUAGCACAGUAGCCCUACUCAUAUAUAUAUAUAUAUAUAUAUAUCAUUCCAACAGCUUCAAGAAAAACAAGAAGCAAAAAGUCCGCAACCCAAAAAAGCUCAUUUUAGCUUUCCGCCGCAGCAACAUGCAUUCAUCUAGCUUUCCGCCGCAGCAACAUACAUUCAUCGUUUUCUCUAUUUUCACAUGCAUCGGGUAAUAGAACUUUAACUUUGGGAAGAAAAAAUCAGCUGUCAAAAAAUGCACCACUCAGGAAAUCACCCCAGAAUCGAAAAUUAACUUCAGCUAUAUUACAAAAGGCAUCUGAUUUAGUGAUGCUAGUUAUCGAAUCAUAAGUACAAUUCUUCUCAUUCAAAGCAAUAUACAGCGAAUUUGAGAGAACCAAAAUCCUAAUUUACUUCAUAAACAGGGUCUACAAAGAACAAGAGUUUCAGAAAAUGUACCCCAGUAUCUUCUACCAACAAAAGGGGAACCAAAUAGGGCAUACAGGAAGUAUACCCAAUGAUAUGACAAACAAGAUCAUGAUCAAGAUCUAUCUCAAAUUUUAGCGACGAAUACGUCUCCGCGCUUUGAGUGCUCCAGCGUGCAUAAACAAGCAUUAGAUGCGAAACAUGCUCGUCCUUUCGCCCUUCCUUUCUUUUUUCCUUUCUUCAGUGUCUCUGAAUGAGCUAGUGGUGAAGCAUUUUCACCUCUGAGGUUGGUGGUCCUGGUAACCUUUCCAUGUGUUUUACUCAAGAAUCUUAGAAGGAACAAAAACAUUGAUUUCCAAUACUAAUCAGGAGAAGGAUCGAUGUCCUCGACCUCGACCUCCGAAACUAAGAUUUCUCAGCUGCAUAUUCCCGCAAAUUGAGAUGGGCCUGUUGAUACCAGACAUCAGAGCCGAUGGGCAUUUAUAAAUCUCUGCUAUUUAGUCUUCCAAAAAUCAAGACAAAAAAAACAUAUCCUCAGACCUGAAGCACCUGACAAUGAACAAUGUGGCUCUUCAGCCCGCUCCGCCCCGCAAUGCUCGACCACAGAUUCGCGACGAAGGACUUAAUCUGUCCUUUCACUGCAAUUGUUUCCCACGCACGCGCGCUAUUUGUUUCUAUACUCAAUCCUGGAUUCAAUACAUCGACUAAACUAAUACUCAUAUUGUUCCGAACAAUCCCAAGCUUACCAUUUAUAGAAACCAAGGCUGCAGCCUCAAAGGCACGUGAAUUGCCUAAAUGAUGCUUGCUAUCUGUGAACCUGGCCCAGGAAUCGGUAGACCGAUCGUAAACCCUAAUUUUGCAUCCGUCCCUACAAUCAGCAGCAUAAAGCCUCCCGUUGAACGAAACACUGGGGUUUCGCCAUCCGGUGACCAUUCCGUUGGAAGCCGUAUACCAAGAGUUGGAACUCGGCGCAUAGAAUUCACUAACUACCUGGCGAUGAGAAUCAAGCCCCUUUAAAAACCAUUUAUUAUCAUAGACAACCCCAAUAAAUGGAACCAUUCCAUUGUUCAUUUCGCCAACAAAGGUCCAUCUGUUUCUGUUCGGAUCGUAAAACUCAGCCGAUCGGAGAGUUCUCUGAAUCCCUUCACACUCCCCACCAGCAACAUAGAGGCAAUUGUUAAUUACACAAGAACCAAAGAAAUGGCGUUUUCUCAGCAUAUCUGGUGCUCGAUGCCAUUUGUUGGUCCGCGCAUUGUAAAAGACUACUCGCCUCAUCGAACCUCGUAAUGGGUCUUUACCUCCAAACAAGUAGAGAUAGCAGCCACUCAGAACGGCACAACCAAACCCAAGGGCUUCUGCGUACUCCGGAGGGACAGGCGGGAGAGAUUUCCAUAACUGAUAUGUGGGAUCAAAGGCAUGCCACGAUAUUUUUCCAUCUCGAUCUCUCUUAAAAACAUAAACCCAUUCCUCCGCCAUUCCUAGCUUUCUUCUUAAGGAAUAAAAGUAAUUCCCAGACAAAAGGCGAUUCCAUCUUUUACAGACUAACCGAAGGUUGUGGUGCUCGAUUCGCGGUACGCGGAUCAAGCAAGCAAUGGCGAGAUCGUCGGGGAGGCCGGGCAAGAAAGGUGCUUGGGUUUUGUACCUGUCGCGGCGUGAGUUCCUAGGCCGGGGCCCGUUGGGUUUGAUAUCCGGCUGUAGGCAGAGUUUUGCACCAGGUACGAACUUUCUAGCGCCUACAACAGUUUUCAGGCCAGUGUCUACUCUGCAGUAGCAGGAAACUGAAUCAACCUGCAACUCAAAUGAGUUAGUCAAUUAACUGUAAAGCAAACAGAGGGAAAAAAUAUUUUGAAAAUAAUAAGUUUAGAUACAAAGACAGAUACUUCAUUUCACAUAGAUACAGGAUCUCAAAGUACUAACUGUAUCCUUAAUUGAUCUAGUCAAUAGCUAAGAGGUCACAAAUCAUUAUAAGAACAUUAAAAAAAAGACCUAAGAACAUUAACAAAACAUGACCUAAGAGGUCAAAAUACAAGUUAAAAAGUAGAUUUUUUCAGAUCAUGAACCUUGGAAGCUCCUAAAGUCCAAGUUUCUCUCUCUUCUUACAACCAAGAGAGAAAACCUUUACCUAAAUAAGUCAAAGCACGAAAGCAGAAUCAUCUCAUAUAAAGCUAUCACUUGUUCUUCUUAAUAAUUAAAAAACAAUGCUUCAGUUCAGUCAACUAAAUAUUCCCUCUCAACUCAGAUACUCAAAACGGAUUUCCUCUCUUCAUUCAAUGCGAAGGCUUUACAGUAGUAGGGGAUAUCCAACGAGCUCGAUAUAAAAGAAGUGCAAUUUGAUAAUAGAUUGGAAGUUCAAUUUAAAUCAUGACCCAACCAAAAUAACCCUAGUACCCUACUAAACCUGAAUCAACUAAAACCUGAUAUAUUUAAUUCAAUAGGUUGACUUUGAUCCAUGACCAAGCAAAAGUUCGAGAAAAUUAGGUGUAAACCUUCUAGAGUCUUGCAUACGGCCAAAUCGUAAAGUUGUGCUCUAGUCUAAGGCUCUGAGCUAUAAUCAACUAAUACAGUACCAUCUAAUUCAUGGGACCCACUACUUAGUUGACUAAAAUGAGGAAAGAAAAAUUGUCAAACUAAGGCUCUCUCAAAGGUCCAGAUGAGAAUAAGGAAGAAUCACAGCAGAAUUAUGAAAUAUCAAAUAUAGAACCAAGGAUCGGCACAAGGUUCAUAAAAUUUAGUUGCUUUCCAUGUGCCAACAAAAAUUCCAAACAGAAUAUCACUGUAUAUACAUUUUAGCUUCUCAUGCCAGAAAUAACCUUUAAUUAACAAUCUUAAUUGAUUUUUUUCAUCCUGAUUGUUCAAGCCAUAAAAUAAGAAACACUCUCAAUUAUACGCCAUUUUGAAAUGGAUCCUCCAACUAUAUUUCUAUGAUUGACACCACUCAACUUUUAGUUUCAUUGAUUUAGCUUAUUUUCCUUGACUUAAUUUGAGAUUCCUCAAAAUCUGCGGCUUGAUUAGCUAGCAGCUGUUAAAAGUUAGCGAAAUCUAGAGUAUAAUCAACUGAAAACCACUAUGAGAUUUCACAAAACCCCAAUUUAACUGGUAGAGAUGACUAAGUCAAGCGAAUCAAAAGUAAAAAAAAUGUCAAUGAAGAGGACAAUAAUUGAGAGAUCUAUUUCAAAAUGUUCCACACUUUCCCUGUACAUUUUUACCUAUUUGAUUCUACACGCUUGCAACGAAAUGAACAGUGAGCAAAUGCAGCAUUGACACACCACACAUGCUCCAUAAUUUCCUGGAGCAAAAAGAGUGAUCGAACAUCACAAUGUGUCGAGAACAAACUCAAAUAGAGGCCAAUUUGAAAUGGUCCUCUCAACUUCUUCUUCUUUCUUUUUUUUUCAAUUAACACCCCUCAGGUCAUGAAUGUUUUGAUUCAAGUGAUCUUAAUCCGACAAUUCGGGUGCUUUUACUAAAUCCAACAGUGAUUUCUUCAAGUUCAAUGGCUCUAAUCAUCUUUUUAGCAAAUGAAACUGCAAGAACCAACAACAAAUUGUUCAUACAACAAUAGUAUUUGACAGAAAUCCUCAACAAACCUAAGCAUAACAACGCAAAUCGACAAAAUAGAAUAUGAGGGGGGCAUCAAACAAACCCUAUUUCAAAAAGGCCAAUAGGUGAGGGAGGGUCUCCACACAUUUUUAUCUACAACAAAAACAGAAGCUAAAUCCUCGUACGAUCCAUCACAAUGGCCUCAAUCUCUUCUUAAAUCGAGCGCUACAAUCAUCAAGAAACCCUAGCUCACAAAUCCCAACCAACAUCUCCAAAUCAAACCCCAAAAUCCCCAAAACGAUACGACCGAGACCUCGAUCUCGUUACUCCCAAGGGUUUUGAUCGAUCUAGCUAAUAAUUUACAGACCGAUUAACACGAAUCCGGUGAAAAAGCUUGGGAUUUUUACCAGCGGGGCCUGGACGCGGACGCCUCGGAGAGCGCCCGCCGGAGCAUCGCCUCCGCCGCCCGCGCCGCCUCCUCCAUUCUCCGGCGAGGCUCCGGCGAUCGUCGGAGGAGGGAGGAGAGGGGGAGAAGUGGGGAGAGAGCGACGGAGAAGAAGAAGCAAAAAAUAAAAAUGCUUCUUUUGCUUCUCCCCUCUUCUGCUUUUAUUUUUUCUUUUUCAUUAUAUAUAUAUAUAUAUAUAUAUAUAUAUAUAUAUAUAUAUAUAUAUAUAUAUUUAUAUACUUUUUAAUUUUUUUAAUUUUUUUAUUUACUUAUAAAUUUUAUGUAGAUGUGUGUGUGGGUGUGAAACACUUGAAGCCAAAAUGUAGAGUGGUUUACUUAAUUUGGAUUACUAAAUGAUCCCGGUCCACCGUGGACCGGUCUUCAAACAUUUUUUAUUAUAAAUUUGACAGUUUUACAGACUACAAUACAGUUUCUUUCUUCAUGUCCUAAAUUUAUUAUAAUUUUUUUUUUUGUCAAAUACUCUGCCACAAAUAUAGUUCUAAUAAAAAUCUAAACUUUCGAACGAUAUCUAUGACGAUUAAAAGCAUUGAUUAAUAAUUUUUCUGUUUCAUAACAAAAAAUAAUUUUUUUCUUUUUCUAUAUUAAUUUUUCGAGUACUAGAUGUUUUGAUAAUACAAUUUUAAACAUUAUAAAUAAUUCUAUGCAAUGAACUAUUUAGAGGCUAUAGAUCCCAUAAAAAAACCUUUAAUUUUUUUAAAAAAUUUUUUUAACACUUUCAUGAUUUGAGUUUAGAACACACUCAAUAGACCAUGGUCUAUGCAACAACUUGCCCAACAAGCAGGGACAAAAAAGUCCUGCAGCAGGUGACCCACCAGUUUUUGGUUGGCCCCACAUGUCAGUCUCCAUAAAUAUAUUAUUAUUAAGAGGGUAUUUUUUACAAAAUAACCCUCUAAAAGUUUGUAAUUUGCGAAAAAAGCAUGUCAAAUUUUUAUUUGGCAAAGUAACCCUUUAUUCGUCACAUAAGAACCACGUAGGAUCAUUUUUCGAAACGCGAUGAAUUAUUCACCGUAUUCUGAAAGAGUCUCAGGGCUUUUAAAGGCAGUAAAUCGUUCACCGCAUUCAUUAAGACUGUUAACGAUUCACCAUCUUCAUAAUUGUUAGAAUUGUAUGUUGAUUAUAAAAAAAAUAGAAAAAAAAGAAAUUAUUAGGAUUAUGCGUGGAUUAUUAGAAUUUUUAUUUGAUUGUUAGGAUUGUUUUGAUAGAUUAUUAGGGUUUUCAUAUUGUUAAGAUUAUUAAUUAAAAUUUUUAUAUAUUUAUUAAGAUUAUAUAUGAGAUAUAAAAAGAAACUGUAAAGAAGUAAAAAAUGAAAAAUGAUUCACCGUUUUUAUGAAAAAUUAGAAAGAUGGUGAAUCAUUAAUCAUAUUUAUGAAGGCAGUGAAUCGUUUACCGUUUUUAAGAGAAAAUUUCAGCGUGACUCCUAUAUGACAAAAGAAGAAUUAGUUUGUCAAAAAUAAAAUUUAUAGAGUUAUUUAUCCAAUUAGAAAAUUUUAUAAGGUCGUUUAAAAAAAAAAGUCCCACAUGGAAGACCAUGUCCUCUUCUCUCUCUCUCUCUCUCUCUCUCUCUCUCUCUCUAGAGUUUGUGUUUUGGACAAAAACUAUAAUAAUCUUUUUAGUUAUCCAAUCAAUGCAUUGUUAAAUGUGAGUUGUUGGGGAAGGAGUCAACCCUUUGAAGGAGAGUAGGAGACUAAGAAGGAGAAAAAGAAAAAAAAAAAAAAAAAAAAAAAAAAAAAAAAAAAAAAAAAAAAAAAAAAAAAAAAAAAAGAAAAAGAAAAGAAAAAAAAAAAAGAAAAGAAAAGUGCAGGAGCAGUUCACUUCACAGUGUCCAUCAUUGCUAGCUAUCAUAAUUGAAGAAGAUUUUUCUUGCACUAUAAGUGGCUCAAAAUACUCUUUUUAUAAAUUUCGUUUAGUUCGAAAAUAAAUUAUUCUUAUUUAUUUCUGAUACAUAUAUUUAUUUAGAAUAAAUAAAAAUUAUAUUAAUUUUUUUGUUUAGAUCUAAAUUAUGUUAUUCUCAGGAAUAAAAAAAAUAGGAUUUGAAUUACCAGACCGGAAUAACGAAAAUAAAUUUUUUUUAUUAAGUCAAUUAAUAUCAAAAAAUGAAGUAAAUAAUAAUUUAGUUUGUUAACUAAUCAAUUAACUAAAAAUUAUGAAAAUAAGUUAAUAUAUUAAUUAUAAAAAAUAAUAAUUUAGUAAAUUAAAAUAAUUAAUAAAUUGUAAAAUAGGUUUCGUAUUAAUUAUAUUAAUGAAUAAAUUACUUAGCUAAUUAACUAGCUCAAUGAGGGAGGAAAUAUUUUGAGAGAAAAGAUUUUUUCUUGGAGGGAAUAAAAGAUUUUUUUUUUUUUGAGAGAGAAAAAUAAUCAUUUGUUUCUUAAAAAAUAAAUUUAAUUAAAAUAUAAAGCAAAUAAACUAUGAACUUGGACCUCAAAUAUCAGCCAUCAAGUUCUUAGUCAACAACAAAUAGGUAUAGUCAAUUACUAAAUUGCAACUAUCUUUUAGACAUAAAAAUUUAAAAAUAUAUUAUUUAAUGAGUUUUAGGAAAAAAAAAAAAAAAUUUGACUGUGAAGUCAACAAUAGAACAUCUUAUUAAAGAAGGUCACCAAUGAAGGCCCUAGCCAACUAGGGCAAAGCCUUUUGGCUCCUCUUUAACUUUUGCUAUUGGGUUGCUAAUAUCUAUUUACUAUUUUAAUCAAGUCCUCUCCUUCAAAAAUUUUGUUAACUCAAACAAAAAUUAUCAUGUCAACACCAAUCAUAUAUCAAACCAACCCUAACCAUUUGAUUAUUUUCAUCCUCAAAGGUUCCUUCUUAAAGAAAAGAGACUUACAAAAAUGACUAUUUAUAGAGUCUAACUGGGAUGCUAUCGAUAACACUAAAAGUGUUUGAUGCUACCGAAUUUUUCGCCGUAAGAUUUAGGCUUAGUUUGAUAUUGAAGUCUAUCUAACGUUAUUAGAUAAAAUGGGUUGAGAAAAAAACAUAUAGGGACAUAUUUCUACGUUCUCCGAUGGGACCGCAGAAAAUAUAUCGUAACCGAUUCAUCGCAAUAUGCGGAACGUACGGAAACAAACAAUGUAUUUUUCCAACGUACUUUCCCACCACACGUAACGCAAUCUCCCCGCAAUCCCAAACGAAGCCUAAAAUUCUUUGAUUAUUUUCAUCUGUUAGAUUAUACUAUUCAAUCAAUAACUCACUCAACCUUAGAGAGCCCACAUCAUCCUAACCGUACAUUUUUUCAUCCAAAAACUGAAAACCUAAUAACACCAAUAACUUGGUGCUAUUGAUAGUAUUCUAGCCUAGUUCCUAUUUAUAUAUAUAUAAAGGACACGACUAUAAAAAAUCAAAAGAUCGGAGCUAACCAACAGUCUAUAGAAUAAUUGGUAUGCGAGGUUGCAAGCUCAAAACUUAAUUACUCUAAAUUUUCAUUCAUUUGUGAAAAUAUAAACAAAAUGGACAGUAUACGAUCUUUCUCUCGAAAAAAAAGUAUUGGAGCUAAAGUAUAAGCAAAGAUAAGAGGAAAUGCUGCUCAAGCAGCCAGUGACAAAGAUUCUGUACUAGCUUAUUAAAUUGCUUGUUUAAUCACCACCAAAUGAUUUAGAAAAAUAAUUUCUUAAGCCCAGACUUACUAUGUUAUGUAACUGCACUAUAUCUCUACUUCUAAUCUCUGCCAGUUUGUAAAAAAUAAUUUUCAAAAUUGGAAAAGGCUGAAUACUUACGUCCUUAUAUCAGUGUUACUAAUAUUCAGUCAACUAAAUUGAAUUAUAAUAAUACAAUAAUUCUGAAAGUUUGAGUAAAAAACUAUUACAAAUCAAAGUUUGAGAACUAGAGCGUCACGUGUCUCAUAGUUUGAGAACCAAAAGGAUAAUUUACUAAAAGAAAGAAAUUAAAAAUUUAGGAGAAAAACUUCAGUAGAAAGCUCCCCAAUAAAGCCUUGUUGAGGAGCUUCAGAUAUAUUGUCACGUGUUAAUUUUGUCACUAUCUAAAAACUGUAAUCAUUCUCUUUAGAAUUUAAGCUUUUUAAUUCUUGAAUGAAGGCAAAAACUUAUAUACGUUAGCGAAUCGAGGUUCUUCAACGAAGCAUCACUGGGGAAGCCCCCACUUAUGUUUUAUUCCGAAAAAAAUAAGAGAGUCUACUGUGUCACGCUUGCAUCACAUCAGCAAUAACAAGCCAAUUACAUCUCUUCUUUCUAAGAAAAAAGUGCAACAAAAAUAUUUUUUUAAAUCCUGAUGUGAUGAAUUGAUUUAAAAGAAUCUAUUUGAUUGAUUGAAGAUGACACGCCAUCAAUAUAACUGAUACAUUCUAAAAUUUUUCCCAAAAAAACUACUACCUUGGAUUAGCUAAAAGCCUGAAAUUGCAAUUUUUAGACUCCCAAAUCUUCUUAUUUUAGGAGAGCUAGAGAGAGAAAGGCAGAAAGCCUCCCUUCUCUCUCUCUCUCUCUCUCCUGACCUGUUCAUGCCAUCUCCAUUUUGCCAACCAACCAAACUAAUUUACCCUCUCUCAUCCCCUCCUCUCAUUCUCUCCUCCUCCUCCUCCUCCUCCUCCUUCCUCUUUCUCUCUCACACCUUCACACAUUUCCCCACAUUCUCCCUCUAUCCCAGGUUGUGAGUUGGUUUUGAAGGAGAGGAGGCAAAGGUGCAAAAAUCCCCCCAAAACUUGAUCAUUUUGUUUUUCUUUUGUUGUUGAAAAAUCUCAUUUGGGUUUUUCUUUUCUUUUCUUUUCUUUUUUUUUUAUGUUGUUUGCUUUGGGAGAGUUUGGUUUUCAAGAAUCCUAACAAUAUAGUUUUCUGGCCGGAAAAGUAUUUUCUGCUCGUUUGAUUUGCGGUAAAUAUAGUGUUUAUAUGUUUUGAAUUUUUUUUUUUAUUUGGAAAACAAAAACUAUGAUGAUGUUUUUAUGAGGAACCAAGCACCUUACUAGAAUUGCAUGAAAUAAUGUUUUGUGUCUCUCUCUCUCUUUUUAAUUUCUUUCUCUUGGAGUCAAAAUAGAGAAAUUGUGAAAAUGAUUCAUUUUGCCAAUGAUACUUGUCCAUAUUUUGUGCUUAUUUGUAUGUAAGUUGCAGAAUUCUUUAUGAUACAUGUUGAAUAUAAAAUAUUAAAAUACUGUUCUCUAACCGCUUAGAAAGAAUAACGAAUAUAUAAUAUUAAAAUACUAUUUUCUGAUAGCUUAAGUUGACAAUAUUUCACAAUGUCGAAGAUAUUGUUUUUACUGUAAUUUAUGGUACAUAAAACUAGAUAUUUUAAUACCUGUGCAUCCAUAUGGAUUCUAAUGACUACUGUUCCAAGAACCUUUUGUAGAACUCUUUAUCCUAAUGAAAUUUCUUUUUAUGUUCUUUGUUCUACUUGUUCAAUUUCCUUUGUAGCUAUUUUCCAAAUGCUUCAUGAUAUCAUGAAGAUGCAAUCCAGCUUUAAAAUUUUCAUUUUUGUUAAUAAAAAGAAUAUGUGAACUAACUCAAAUAUCUAAUUCCCUGCAGGAGGAGAUCUACAUACAUCAUUUACUAUCAUUGAUUACUUUGUUCAUCCUCUUCCCAAUCAAUCAAAAAAGAAAAAAAAAAAAAAAAGGAGGAAUUUUUCCUUUUUUUGAGAGUAGUAAUCUCAUUUAGUAUCACAAAAUGGGUCUAUCAUUCUCAUACCCUAUAGAUGACUAUGAUUAUUUGGAUGAGAGCUUUGAAUCUCUCCUCAUGAGAUCUUUCAGCUUCACCGACAAAGUUAAGAGCACCCUGCGGUCCCUGAGCUUCAACGGCCGCGAUUCCGAGCCCGCGAUAUUCAAAGCCUUCGGCUCGGCGAAGCUGAUCAUAGAAGGAUCUCUGAGUUUCAAUGGAAAGGAAACCAUGAUCUCUAUAAAGAGCCCUACCUCCAAGAAAAAGAGCUCCAAGAAAUCACCUUGCGCUAGUAAAUCGCGAUUUAGCCCUUCGUACGAAAGCCCCAAACUUACCGCGCCGGAAAGCCCGCAGCAUGAGGCGGCGUUGAAGCUGCAGAAGGUCUACAAGAGCUUUCGGACGAGGAGGCAGCUCGCGGACUGCGCUGUCCUUGUUGAGCAGCAUUGGUAUGAAGUUUUGAUUAUAUUUUUCUUUUGGUUUUACAUUCGUAGAUAACAACUGUAACUUGCGAAAAGCUCGUUUGAAUUGAUUCGAAACUUGUUCUAGUUAAGCCAAGUUGAUUUUGUUAUUGAUCGAUACGAUGAGAGAUUCACACUAUGCAAGCUCCACAAAGAAAAUGGUCGAACUCUGCUAAAUUGAUGAGUAACUUAGAAAUGAAAUUGAGUUCGAGUAACUCGAUGAGUUUGUAAUUGAUAUGAUCCUCUCAAUUAUGUGAAUCAAAUUAGGCUUAUUAUUUACUGAUGUAAAAAAAGACAAUAAGAACUCAGCAAGCGCAUGCGAGUUUGCCAAAGUGACUCUACUCAGUUUAACUUUUGAGUUGAGCCAAGUUUUCGAGUCAUCAAACAUUAGUUUAUAUCAUUACAUGUUUAUCUUUACGACUACUUGCUUUAGGUGGAAACUACUUGAUUUCGCACUGUUGAGGAGAAGUUCUGUGUCUUUCUUCGACAUCGAGAAGCCAGAGACGGCUGUUUCUAAAUGGUCGAGGGCGAGGACUAAAGCUGCUAAGGUACUUAAUUUCUACAUGCUGAUAUUCCAAGCAAACUAUACUAGUAAAUGGAAAAUUUAAAAGAUUUGGCUUAGUUACAGCGUUCUGAUCUUUACAUUAGGUUGGUAAAGGGUUAUCAAAGGAUGAGAAAGCUCAGAAACUUGCAUUGCAGCAUUGGCUCGAGGCCGUAAGUGUCGCGCAUAUCACGAAUUAUGCCUCUACUUUACAUUUGAUCUUUGAUAGUGUGUAGAGUUAAUAAUCUGAGUAUUAUGAUUCCUUAUGAAUAGAUUGAUCCUCGCCAUCGAUACGGUCACAACCUUCACUACUACUAUGAGUGUUGGCUCCACUGUGAGAGCAAGCAACCCUUUUUCUAUUGGUAGGUCAUGAAAAAACUCUCUCUCUCUCUCUCUCCCUCUAGUUUUGUUUGAAUCAAUUGAUAAAACAGGCGAAAAAUGUAUGAAACCCUCUAUAUAUAUUAUAAAUGUUCGCAUUACCGCACGUGAAAUAUCAACACCUACAUUUUACCAUAUUGACCGAUAAAGCAAGGUGAUACAUCUCGUCAAUGGAAUAUUCAGAAAGGAGGCAAAGUGACGAAAUUGAAUUAUAUGAAAAACAACCGUUUUUCUCCAAAAGCUUAAGCUGUCAGAGAACGACAUUUCUAAUUCAUAUAUUCGACAAUAUUUAGGUAUCAAUAUUUUAGUGUAGGAAAGUAAAAAAAAAUCAGUGUUUAUAGAAAUAUAACACAAAUACAUCUUAAACUAAUACCAUUUUGGAUUCAUUUAACAGGCUAGAUGUGGGAGAUGGGAAGGAGGUAAAUCUUGAAGAGCACUGCCCUAGAUUGACACUUCAACAGCAAUGUAUCAAGUAUCUCGGCCCGGUAAAAUAUCUCAUACUAAACCAAUAUAAUUGCAACUAAUUCAAUCCCGAAAGCCGCAUUUCGUUUACGAGUUUUUCUCUACAUUACAGAAAGAAAGAGAGGCUUAUGAAGUCAUUGUUGAGGAUGGAAUAUUCAUGUACAAAGAGAGCCGGAAACUUCUAGACACUUCUGAGGGCCCUGAGGAUGUGAAAUGGAUCUUUGUUCUGAGCACAUCAAAAGCUUUAUAUGUUGGUCAAGUAAUUAAUUCCCUACAGAAACUCUUUCCAUGUAUAUUUGUACAUAUAUUGCUUCUGUAACAUCAUCUUUCGACAAUUUAUGAUCAGAAAAAGAAGGGAACAUUUCAGCACUCGAGUUUUCUUGCUGGAGGAGCUACUUCUGCUGCUGGGAGAUUAAUUGUAGAGAAUGGAGUUCUUAAGGUAUGUAACCUUAGAGAGAGAUUGACCAAAUGUAGGAACUCCAUAUAACAUAUCGCGAUUCUCACAUUACGUGCCUGGUGAAACUUUAAAAUGACAUUUUACCCUCGAUUUAAUUUCGCUUUCAUUUUGCAGGCAGUUUGGCCUCAUAGUGGGCACUAUCGGCCAACGGAAGAAAAUUUCCGAGAGUUCACGAGCUUCCUCAAGGAAAAUAAUGUCGAUCUUACGGAUGUUAAGGUGAGGAAUAUGACUCAUAUCUCUCUUUAUCUUACAAUUGCGCCGCAUGAAAUCUUUAGCUCCGAAUCUUAGUAGUAGUUUUGACUCGUUAAGGCCCAUUUAUGGAAUUGUUGUCAAGUAUAGCUGUUCGAAAAAGCAGUACUAAAGUAUAGCUUAUACUUUUGGGACUUAGAAGCUCGUUUCAACUUUCAUCACAAAAAGAGCUCAAAGUUUUUUUUUUUCUUUUUUUCUUUUUUGGGCCAAAUUUUUUACUAACUACUUUUCGAAGUAGAGAAGUUGUCCAAAAGCUACACCAAACAUACGCUUAGAAUCGUGUAUUCUUGGCCAGUAUCUGAUAUAACAAGUAUUGUUUUCUGUUUUAUGCAGUUAAGUCCAACCGAGGAGGACGAGGAACUGGGGCAGAUAAUCCGAACCAGCAGCUCCGAACCGAACUUUGCCGAAAGUAACUACUUCAGCAAGCCAGAAGCUCAAAAGAAGCAUUCUUAUGCUUAUGAUGCAGCAAAAAUCUCCAUUCCAGAAGAAAAUGCAAGCUCGUGUAAGGCUCCUGGACCAGAAUCACGAGAGAGGAAAACGAAAAGAUCACUCCAUCUAGAGCUUCCCCCGAAGAAUAUUGUGUUUUUUGACGCACAAGAGAACAAAGAAAAUGACAAAGGUGAAGAAGAGGAAGGAGAAGAAGAAAUCGAUGAGGAGCGUGUCAUGUUCUGCAAAGAAAACCUAUUCGAAGAAGGAGAAGAAGAGACAGACGAGGAAGCGGUGCUGCAGGAAUUGAUUCUUCGAAGGAUCAGUUCGAAGAAAGGAGUGAAAUCUUAUCAACUGGGCAAGCAAUUAUCCUUCAGAUGGACUACGGGGGCUGGCCCGCGGAUUGGUUGGGUGAGGGGUUACCCGCCGGGGCUUCAAUUUCGCGCAUUAGAGCAAGUGAACUUAUCUCCGAGAAACCUAGAGCAAGUGAACUUAUCUCCGAGAAACCUGGGACCGUCUAGAUUUGCUUCACCGAGAACUUGUUAUAGUCCGAGUCCGAGAGUUAAAGAGACAUUGAAGGUGAAAGAGGAGGCACAAGCAACACAAAUGAGAAGAGAGAGUGAUAGGUGAAGGUGAGUGAGGCCUUUUGAAGUUGGUGAAAUUGUUGAAUGUAUAGAAAAGGAGUGUUUGAUUCAUACUUCUUGUAGAUUGGGUAGAGAAAUAUUGUGUGUUUGAAAGUAUUUAUAAAUUUUCGAUGGAUCAAAUAGAAACCAAAACCAUUCAAAAGUUAUUAUACCAAGAUUGUUAGUUGCAAGUUGCAUACAUACAUAAAAGAAAGAGAAAAUUAGAACACAAUUUACCACAUCUUUAGUACUCAUAAUUGAGCAAUAUUUUCAAUGAAAUAAGCCUCUACAAGUUGUUCUUUUCUCCUUAAUUACUACACAAGCUUUUGUACACAUUCAAAGAACCUUUUCUCUUUGAUAUGUAAGCUCUGUUUCCCAUCCUCACCCCAGAUAACUCUACUUGCCUACUCAACACCAAGCAACUUCUCUAGAGCAAUGCUGUACAUCUAAUUGCAGUAUUCAGAUCCUUUCUGUUUGUAAUAUUAUUCCUACAACAAUGCAAAGCUUCUAAACUGUUCCUUUGAACAGAGCAAAAGUUAUCACACAUGAGAGUAUACCUUCAUUUCACUCAACAGCAGAGCUAGGCAAGUUAAAGAGGAUUGUGAAUCAUUGAAAGUGCAUUGUUCCUAUGAUUAAUGCUGCAGAGGAUCUAGAAUGAAAAACAAGAGCCUAAAAACAACCGCUGCUACGGCAUGGUUACGAAAUUAUCCUCUAAAACAAGAAACACGAAACAAGAAUCUCAUAGUUAUGAAAUUACCCAAAACUCAUAAUUGAUUAACAGAUCUCAGACAAAUGUGGCCAAUACAUCAAUGGAUAAAAGAAGAGCCUAAAAACGUCCGCUACUACGGCAUCAAGACACGCCGAUCGGUGAUCAUCGCUCGAAAAAAAAAAAAAGAACCCUAAUAAAGCUCCUGCAUUUUAAAGGAAGGUUUGCCGCACCAGCGCGGAAAUCAGCGCAACCUCCUAGCCUCUCUCUCGGACUCGAGCAGCGUGAGGAUAUCGCCCUCCCUAACCGGGCCCUUCACGUUCCUCAUGAUGAGCCGGUUCUGGUCGUCUAAGAACUUGACUCGAACCUGCGUCACCUGCCCUCUCGACCCGGUCCGGCCCAUGACCUUCACCACGACCGCGAGCUUCACUUGAGUAUCCAUGCUGCUAAAGUAUAAUUCAGAUUGCACCAUCAAUAAAUAGGUCUCGAUCGUCAAAGUGACAAUGUAGAAACAUUUGAAAUCAAUCUCUAAACUUCGAAAAUAUUGAUUUCGCUACCUCAUAUCGUCAAAUUAUAUUAGAGCUCAACAAAUCCUAUUAAAAAUUUACAAUCACCGUCGAGCUGACAAAGCAAAUCCACAUUUUAAAUGGUACAAUAGUUCAGCUAAGGACUGGAUGGUUUUAACAUCACUUAAUUGCGACAAAGAUUAGCACAAUUUUUAUAAAAAAGAAUCCGUACAUUGUCGCUAAUAGAGAAGUUGUAAAAUUUAACAUAAUCUGCGCAACGAUUAGCCACAGUAAAUGGUCUCGCAAUUGCUAAAAAGACACGCCCAAUUUCUCUCCACAAAGAGAGGAUCCAUAUCUCAAUUAUACAUAAACAGAAACAGUUGUAGCUACAUAAAUAGAUGAAACAAUAAGCUCCAAUUGAGGUAAUACUGGGCAAAUUAGGAUUUUUUUUUUUUUACCCCUAACCUUUUACUGCUUAUACAAUGCACAAAAUGUACGAAAUCGAAUAUUAAGAUAUGGAUAUAUCACCAAUAACUUGUAUUAUGCUUCAGAGUUCUAAAUUAUAGCCAUAUAGAUAUAUAUCACCAAAAAAAAAAAUCAAUCUUUAACAGUACGAGCGCGUAAGGACACUACAUUACCAAUUUUCGAGCGAAUAAAAAAGAAAAGAUAUGAAGUCCCAAAAAACAACAAACUAAUACAAAAGUACUAGAUCAAACCACUCAAAAUAUAUCAAAAAAAAGGGGGAAAAAAAAAAGAGCAGCAGCAGCAACAACAACAACAACAACAAUAGAAACAAAACUUCACAAAGCUACAACCCUUGGAAUCCUCGAUUAUUAGGGUUUAGGAGGGGAUAUUAGGGUUUAGGAGAGGGUUACGCUACGCACCUUUCUCGGAUCUAUCUCUCCUGGGCUCGGCGAGGAGCGCGAUCGAAGGGCAAAAGUGGCGAGAUCUCUCUCCUGGAAAUCGCGAUCGAAGAGAAAAAGCGGCGGCGGCGACGAAGGGGAAAAGAGAUGAUACAAACCCUAGCUUUCGUUAUUUAUUUGUUAGGGGAUAUACGGAUAGCGGGGAAAGUGACAAGCAAAAUUUCUUUUUGAGAGAUAUUUAAAUCCGGUGUAAGUAGGGGUGUAAUGUGGGCCGUACCGGGCUGAUACGGCCCACAUUUUUCGGCCCAUAACGGCCCAGUAUGGCAGGUCGGGCUGACCAGGCACGUUAUCUGCAGUAUCCGUGUCAGGCGACGGCCCGGCCUGAUAUCUCGCCAGGCCGGCCGGUCCACGGGCCGGCCGGCCCGUUUGACACCCCUAGGUGUGUAUGGAUGUCAAUUUAGCAUUUAAUAUAUAUAUAUAUUAUUUAAAUUUGUAUUUAAAUUUUAGUAAAAAAAUAUAGGAAUAUAAAAUUUAAAUACGAGUACGCAUCUUCUAGUUUUAAUUUAUAUUUAUAUAUGUAUAUUAGUUUAUAUUAUUAUUUAAAUAAUAUCUGAAUAUAAAUUUUAUUUAUAUCUGAAUUUAAAUCUGUUUUAAGCCGAGAUAGAGGCCCAAAAUUAUUAAAAGUUAUAACCAUAAAUUAUGUCUUCGGCACCUAUAUUUUUUGAAUUGAAUGGCAAUUUUUUUUAUUAUUAACUUUUUAGGCUACUUGAUGUAAAGGUAAUAAAUUCCCAAAAUAUAUGUGAUUUUCCAGAAAUAUAUAUGACUUUGUAUGUAAAAAAUCUACAUGAGGAUAUGCAUAUACACACCAAGAAUAUGCAUACACACCAGGAAUCCCAGACGUUGGUAAAAAUAUGGGUUUAAUUUUCAUGAGGUUUUAAGUACAAAUUGGUUAAGUUUGACCCAAUUUUAGUUUUAGCCUCAUAAUUCCAUUAUUACACUUUAGGAUGGUGUUAUUAAAGUCUCACAAUUAUUUUGAAUUUUAAAUCUAAGGAAAAGUUCCAACACUACGCUUAAUCGAAAAUAUCCAAUUCUACGGAUUCCUUUUUCCACUAAAUUACAGAAAACUUUCAUGCCAAUGCCUAUUUAUUUACUUUUCUCUCCUGUCGUUCAAAAAUUUAUAAUUUAUUUUUUAAAAAAAUAAAAAAUAUUCACAAAGAAUAUAUUGUGGCAAAAUAAUCAAAUUACCCUCAUCUCAUCUUUUUUGGUAUGGACGUGAAUGGAGAGAUGGACUAGGGUGGGGGCGGCGAAAGCGGGCGAGGACGCAUAUGGGCACGAACAGAGAGAUGGGCAAGGGCGAGAUAAAACGGCCGAGAAUGAGAAAGAAGGAUUUCAAAAAUAUUUUAGAUAUAAAAAAUAAAAUAUAAACAAAAUCUAACGGAACACUGACGUUAAAAGUCAAAAUAAACAUUUUUUAUUUUUAAGAAGGUAAAGUGUAAAUUUUCAAAUGACAAGAGAGAAAGUAAAAAAACAAAUAUUGACAUAAAAGUUUACUAUAAUUUAACCUAAUAAGAAUAAGAAAAUAUAUAAUACAAAAUGGAUUCACAGAAAUAAUCUACGGUAAACUUCAUUUUCCAUAAUCUUUGUAACUAUCAAAUAAAGUUUCCGCUAAAUGAAUACAUGACUAUUUUGGCUAACAGAUAGAAAGCAAAAAGAGAGACAACAAAAUCAAUAUUUAAAAAAAAAGAAAAAGAAGAUAAAAGAAAGAAAAAAGAAAUCUAGUACUAGGCGUAAGGCAAAGCUAAUUAUACACACUCAGCUUUCGAGGUCAAAUAUCGAGCAAGAAAAAAAGAAAACAAAAAAAAAAAAAGAAAACAAAAAUAUACAGUAUGUUACAAUGAAUUAGUUCCUCGAUGUUCUCUGCUGCGUCCGCGACUUCAUACUGGCUCGACGUGCAACGUCCCAGGCCCUCUGAGGGGCGUAAACUCCUUGUUGUGAUGCGAAAAAGGACUCGUAGCCGGGGGAGUCGAACGCGAAUCCUGUGUGUUUCGAGGUCUCCCGUGGAAGCUGGGAAAUGGCGUAGCUUCGUGCUUCGUCUGGGGUUAGGUGAUGGCCGAUCUCUAGUAGUUCCAUCCUGCUGCUGUUGUCCUCGGGGUCGUCUUUGUGGAUUUCUUGAACUAUUUGGUAGUCGUAAGGGAAAAACCAUCUUUGGAUUCUGGAAUUACAAGAAAAUUGGGUGAAGAACCUAAGCUGAUUUCACAUUGACACGGCAUGAGAAAUUUAUAUGCAGGUCAUUUUACUUAAAAGGGUAAGCAAUUGAGAACUUACCCUUGGUAUAAGAAGUCACCAAAGAGUGCGACGAUUGGGACAAGCAGCAGUGUGAAAUAGAAAUAAAACGUGCUCAUCAGAACAUAAAUCACGAAGAAUAUAUUUUCCUGCAAGAACAACGCAAAGAGUUAGAUGAGGACAAAUUAGUUAAUUAGAAGAGCAGGCUCCAGUUACGCCAUUGGUCACUGAAGUUACUCUCAAAAUUUAUUUAGAUGACCAAACUUCAAUUGUUUCGAUUGACGCCCUGGAGAUCAAUUUACGUUUCAAUUUGGUCCUCGAUUAAAAGAGGAUUUUCAGCGACUAGAAUGAAAUUUCCCAAAAAACUUAGCGAUCCAUCAUACAACUUGCACCAGCAAAGUCAAAGAACUUACUUGUCUAUCGUAUGGAGUCAUUACUCCGGAGUACACGAAUAUAAACACAAACCAUGCCACGAUACUCCCCAAAACACUUAUAUAGUGCCACCGCGUGAUAGAAUUGCAUGCCAAAAGAAGACGCAAAUUAACAGUCACCACGAUGCAAGUGAAGGCCAUAGUGCUAACAUCCCAAAGCCCGAAUAUCUUCCCUGACGAAUUGUGCCCGUUUUUACUGGCAGCGGUUGUGAAGUAAUAGAAGAUCAAUGACUGGUAGAAUGCGAAGAAGGCCCACACAGCCACCACUCGCCAUUUAAAGAACAUGUUCCUAAUUCCUUCCUUGUAUAGUUCUGGGUACCUUUUUGAGAGAGAAGCGCUCACAUCCUGGAAGACAAAAGACGGUUUGGCAUGAUGUACAAUUCUCCGGAUAAAUGAAAGAGAUUUAUAUAAUUGUAACCCUGCAAAAUCUAAGUUAUCAUAUAUGCCCUUCAAUAAGUUUAGUUUUUCACAUAUAUGUAACCUCAUAACUUUCUAUAUUACAAAACCACCUUCCGCCUAUGAAUUGGAGGAUUUGUUUGGUAAGGAACAACAUUCUCAAGGGUUAUAUAAAGCAUUUUGCAAGAGUAUAAAUAUGUUGAUAUGUACAUUUGCGGGGAUAUAUAGGUAAAAACCCAAAAGAAAUGGCAGUAUAAUACUAGCCACCGGUAAAUUUAGGCAUCUGCCAAAUGCUUUGGCGAGACAUAGCAAAAAAUAAGGGUAAACUUCAAAUACCACCCGUGGUUUCGCACUUUCUCACUUUAGUACCCUGUGGUUUAAAGUGUAUCAAUUUAGUGCCAUGUGGUUUCAGUUUUCUCUUUUCGUCAGCUUCUCCGUUAAUAUUUCGUUAAAUUAAAUAAAAAAAACUUCAGAUACCCCCCCUAGGUUUAUCGAAUAUUCACUUUAGUACCCUUUAGUUUUAACUUUGUCACUAAUUUAAGAAAAAAAAGUAGUGGAAUUGAUAAUAAAAAGAGAAAAAUAAAACCAUAGGGCGCUAAAUUGAUACACUUUAAACCACAUGGUAGUAAAGUGAGAAAGUGCAAAACCACAGGGGUGGUAUUUGAAGUUUUCCCAAAAAAAAAGUGCAAAUAAAUGUAAAAGCAAACAUACCUUGUCGAACAAUCCAACGAUAAUGACAGGCAGUGCUGUGAAAAUGACAUUAUACAGAGACUGAAACCAGUCAUCGUAAAAUCUUUGACCAGAAAAGCCAGUUUGGAAGGUGAACCAAAACUGAGUCAGCGUAAAAGUAAGAUUUUUGUAAAAGAAGUAUGUAAUAACCUGCAACAUGACGAGUUGACAAUUAAUUCUCUUGAUAAUUAAUUAAAAGUGUUAAAUUACGCCAAUGGUUGCUGCAUGACUGCGAACUUUCACCUAGGGCACUGAACUUUAAUUUGUUGAAAUUGAUGCAGUGAACUUCAGUUUCUAUUUCAAUCAGAUCCCUCCAUAAAUCUGUCUGAUUUCCCUAACAGAGGUGUGGUCGUGGCAUCUAAUUCAUCUGCCACAUCAAUCCUCCAAUAGGGAAAUUAACAGGAGUUUGAUAGCUGACCUAAGUGAAAUUUCGUUAUUAAGCCCAGUUACCAGUGUUGUAAUUUAUCAUUUUAACUGUUAAUUAAGCUUAUGAAAAGUGUAGAGAAAGGAACCUUGCAUAAUCUAAGAUACGACCACCGCCCAUGUACAAGUAGCAGAUCAGUUAGGAAACGAAACUGAGCAAUGGCGAAAUCACUAGCCAACACAGCUUGCCUUCCUUCAAGCCCGCUUAUGCCGACCCCAACAUGAGCAGCUUGAAUCAUACUCACAUCAUUUGCACCAUCACCGAUACUCAAAGUGAUCUUGCGAGCUCCUUUCUUGACAAGGCUAGUAACCUUCACAAGUUCACAAGAAUUAAUAGCCUUGCAUAAAAAGAAAGCUCCGACUAGAGACAAGAAAAUACAGAUAAAAAACUGUUCACUUGUGCACUGGACACCACCAAACCAAUGUUGAAGAAGGAAUUGUACUAAUCCACAGAUUUAAGUUGUUUCCAACUUCACAAAAAGUAAAAAUGUACAAAACUUUCCUAGACUAUUGACCAUUUUGAUCCGACUAAAUAACCUUUCAAAAUUUUGAUUUUCCUACCUAACCUUUCAAUUUGUUUGAUUUGAGUCAGUCAAUGGCACAUUAACUUCAAAAUUUACACGCAUCGUUUAUCUUUACAGAUUUAGCUAAUAUUCUCCAUACAAUUCUCGCAACUAUAAAUUCAUUAACGUAAGUAAUUAGCUUAAAUUUUAAAGUCAAAAGUACCAUUGACAGACUCAAAUCAAACAAAUUGAAAUAUUGGAUAGUAAAAUCAAAAUUUAGAAAGGUUAGGUAGCCAAAUCAAAAUGGAUAGUUCCAGUUCUGUAUGCUUUAAAAUAAUAAGGGAAGUUAAUAUACAGAGUUAUUCUAUUUCAUGUGUUUUGCAAAGCUAGAAAUUUAGGGAACAGAAAGUGUAAAGACUAGUCAACCGCCAAGGAACUAAACAUGGCAUUCCCAUGAAAUGGAGGUUUAACAAUAUCCAUAGGGCUUUUGCAUAUAUCUUUAUGCUGCAAAAUCAUCCAUCUACAAAUAUAACUGUAAAAUCUGACCUUUCAUAUUCAAUCCUCGAAAGUGUAGUUUGUUACAAAAUUAUUCCUAUUGCAAGUUUAGGGGUCAUGCCAGUGCAAGGAAAGUUCGUUUUGCAAAAAUAUCUUAAAAAGGUGCAUUCUUACGAAAAGGUACGUAAGUAAUAAAUUAAAAGCUGUAUGCAAUAAAUUAAGGUUUUUUGGAGGAACAUAUAAAAAUUCAAAUUUCGAAGGAAUAUGAUGUUAAUAGAUGGCUUUCUUAAUUUGAUUUGUCUUGAAAACUAAACAGCACUAGACAAACCCUGAUUUACUUGAUCACAUUUCGUGCACAUGAAAUAACACCAAUUAUCUUAGACAAGUAGGGAUCCACCAAAAUCCCCAUCCUGCACAAAUGGUUUCUUUUCAAAUAAAAGAAAUGAAAAGAAAACUCUUAUAAUAAGAUAAUUGAUGCAUUUUCAAAUUAUGAGCACCAGCACUUAUCUUUUUUAUUCUCACAGUAGGUCAUGACAUAAAAUAAUUGGCAGAAAUUCCAAUUGGAAGACAUUAGCAAGACAAAUUUACCUGUGCCUUUUGCAACGGAGAAACACGACAGCAAACUACCGAACUACAAUUCAAGCUCAAAUUGAGAAGACCAACACGUAAAGUUGGAUCCAAUGCAUACAUCAAGCAUUUCCCAUCAAUUAUGAGAGCCAAUUUUGUUCCUGAAAAACCAUGCAAGUACUCCUGAGCCUCCUCAAGGCAUCGUUCCAGAUCAUGCUUUACCAAUUCUUUGGUAACGCGUGCAAUCUCCACAGCAUCUCCCUAACAUAAAUAACUCAAUAAGGCCAUUUUGAUCUUGCAAUUACAGCCCAUUUUUUAUUGUUUUGUAGCUAUAGACAACAAUAUCUUUUACAGGACCCAAAAACUCUAGAUGAGAUUUCAAUAUGUAAAUUCAGUGAAACAUAAGUCAAAGGCCUUUCGGCCUGUGAGAAAAUAUUUUGGUCUAGAGCUGCAAAAGCUUAAAAAAAAAAAAGUGAACAAAUUUAAAAAUUGAAAAACAAGUUGAUUAUAUCCGCCAAAUACAGCAAUGCAGAUAUAAUUUGAAAUUGCAAUAACUAAGCUCAGUCAGUGGCGAUGACAUGCAAAGAUCUAGGCAAUAAGCCAAUAAGUGAUAUAAGAUGAGAAAUCAAAAGAAAGCACGUGAAAGAAUGAAUAGAAAUGCAACGCAGGAAAAGGAGGACAAGAAAGAGGGAUCAAAAGUUUAUAAUGCAGAAAAGAAUCGAAAACAAAGAUUUACAAGUAAACUAUUUCAGCUACUAAUAGAAAUGAUCUUACCCUAUCUUCAGCUUCUCUAAUUGUGUCCGUCUCUGAGCUGAUGAUAAAUUGCUUCAUAUUGUUGUUUAUCAGGUUGCAUGCUGCCAGAGAGUAAAUCAGUAAACACUAUUAAAAGGUAAGAUAUACCAUACUAAUAAGCUUUCCCAUAUAACGAGCUUAAGGAAAACAAAAGGAUAAGACAAACUCAUGAAUUUAAGAUCAGAGUUUCUUUUUUUUUCCUUUUAAAUCUUACCAUAUGCUAUAUUUAUUGCAGUUUCCAUCUUAUCCCCUGUUAACACCCAAAUUUUUAUUCCAGCUUUAGAUAGAGUUUCAAUACAAUCUGGGACUCCUUCCUGAAGCUUGUCUUCAAUAGCGGUGGCUCCUAUUAGUAUAAGAUCCUUCUCAAUCAAGUCUGCCACCUACAAAAAUUUGGCUUGUUACAACGAGAAAUAUUUAUGAGCUUGGAGCAUGGAGACAUUUUUCUGCGAACACAGAUUUAGGGAAAAACUAGGGAGAAAAUCCAAAAUAUAAUUGGAAGACCAAUAAAUACCUUUCAAAAAUAACACACAAAGUAUUUGAGAUGGCAUUCUCAACAGAACAUGAUAAAGAAAUUAAAUAAAAUAUUCAACUAUUGAGAAGAAAACUAUAACAUUUACAAAUCUAAACGUGUUAGCAGCUCUUGAUAUAACUUUCAGAGUAGGAAAGAGUAGAAAAAGAAAAAUAUAGAGGAUAAUGGUGAGCACCACGGAUAAUGAACAAUAUAUAAACUUCGCAGUUUUUUAAUCCAUGAUACUGAUGCUUGAGAUAAUUUUCAAGUACAUUGAGCCUAGAGGUAUAAACGAAAAUUGAGAAAAGAUAUAAAAGAUUGAGAAAAGAUAUAAAAGGGCUUGUUCGUCUAAUUAUUGAAACACUACAGCUACAAUGAUAACUCUAAGGUGUUGGGUCUGAAAUGUAGCUAUAUUCAUAUAUGAAACCACAGUUGGUGGUCCAGGUGGCACUUUUCUAUUAAUAUGGGAGGAGAAUGGGUGGGCCCACUUCUUUUUUUUUUGGUGUUUUCCAUCCCAAUUCACCUCUCUCACUCUCUCAACCUCCAGUGAGUUGGGGUUGGACUUGGGCUGUUUUUUUUUUUUAAUCCAAACCAAUUCUCCUCUUUCUCUCUCUCAUUAUAAAAGUUUAUGUUAAUUUUUUAUACAUAAUUUUUUAUAUAAUUGAGAUUGCUUAUAUUAAAUAUUUUUAUACAUAAAUUUUUAUAUAAUUGAGAUUGCUUAUAUUAAAUAUGAGUUUUAAUUUUAUAAUACUGGUCGUUUAAAAAUAGGUUGUACAACAAAAAAUUAAAAGAGAGAUUGAUGAAAUUUAAUGUAAUUUCUUAUAUUAAUAAAUUUAUAGUUACGAGAAUUGUAUAAAGUUUACUAAUUUAAUUUGUAAAGAUAAACGAUGCAUUAAAACUUCAAAGUCAAAGUACCGUAGACUAACUGAAAUCAAACUAAUUGAAAUGCUAGAUAGUAAAGACAAUUUUGAAAGGUUAGACAGCCGAUUCAAACUGAUCCACAAUUUAGGAAAAUUAUAUACUUUUUUAUUUUGAUUUUGAUAGCAAUCUUUAAUGUCAUAUUUAUAGUAUGAUGAGCAAUCAACUUCACAUUUAGAAUCUUCUGAAAUAUUCAAAAUAUUUUAACAAUUAGGCAUUCUAAACUUUAUUAGAUAAUUAAGCAUAUUCUUUUCUUGAAUGAAAUUACUACUUGAAUGAAAUCGAUCGAUGGUCAACCCUUACUGUUUGGAAUACAAAUAAAACAUAAAAAAAGAUAAUUACACUUUGGUCAUUAAACUAUGAGACGCAUGACACGUUAUUUUUUGAACUUCAAGCUUUGGCUCAAAUUAUAAGGCACAUGACACUGUAGUCCUCAAACUUCAAUUAAUAGCAAAUUCACGCUAAAACUAUAAUUUAUUAUUCUUAUAGUUUUAGUCCUCAACUUUUACUGAUACUAUAAAUAUAAUUUAUUGUUCUUACAGUUUAGCCUUUAUUCUUCUUUUUUCUGUCUUAUGCUUUUAUUCUUAAUUUCUUCUACUUUUUUUAUGUUUUAUUUUUUAACUUCUUUAUUUUUCAUAUAUUUUUAAUGUUUCUUUUUUAUUCAGCUUUUUCUGUUUAUUUAUUUUUUUAUGUGGAAUCAACCCGCCGCAAAGCGCCGGUGCCUUCACUAGUAUAGAAAUAUUAUUCAGAGAAUGAGGGUUGGUUAUGCUACAAUUGCAAUGCAAAGAUAUAUCCAGAUUACUAGUAAGUUGCAUAUUCAGUAAAAUAGGAGGAUUGCAUCAAUAGAUGAUAGUAACAGACAUACCUCAUCAAGUUUCUUUUCACGGUCUCUUAAUGAAGAUUUAGCUUGAAUAAAUUUCUCAUUCCAAUUUUCAUACAUAUCAGGGCUUAGAUCUCGAUAAGCAAGGCAAAGUGUGCGCAGACCAGCUGAGCCAAACUGUUCUAGAUGCUCUCUGGUUAACCUUUUAAUCUCAUGAUUUCCUUCCGCCAAUCUUUCAUAUAUAACAGUAUCAGCACCCUGUUUUUUAUUGAUUUUAAUUUAUUGGAGUGAGAAUAAGGCUUGAUGGAAAGUGAUAAGUAACAUUUCAGGUUUUACCUUGCAGUAAAGAAUGAGCCUUCCGUUUGGAUAACGGCACACCACGGACUGGCGCUUCCUAGUACUGUUACCACAUUAAAGAAAAGGUAAAUAUAGUUCGUCAAGACAAUAAAUUCACUUACUAAAGGAAAACUCUAAGCACCUAUUGAACUCCAAAACAUUUAGAAUCUCGUAGGAGACAUCUUGAACUUUGCCCAUCUUUUCAACAUGUGAUUCACGAACCACAACUGUUGUUGGCGUGCGUCUGUUAACAAAAAGUAAACAGUUCCAGUAAACAAGAAGCAGUACUACUCUAAAGCACUAAACCUUGCUAGUAUUGAAAUUGUCAAGGAUGUUAGAAAAUAGGGACCAUAAAAAAAGAACAAAGAGUGAAUAUCUCAUCCAUUUCUAAAUUGUCGUGGACUCUCUUACAUUAACCAGAAAAAAAAAAAGCCUUAAAAAAUAAUGAAGGAUGAUGAAUACCUAGCAACAUGAUCAAACAAAAGGUCCACAAGUUUCUAUUUUCAUCAACACUGUCAAGAUAACAAUUGGUAGCAUAAAACGAGAUCUUUUAAGCCUUGGAAUUGAUAUGCCAUAUAACUAGUCAUUACAGAUAGACAAUAUCGGAAAGUUUGAGAAUUAAGAAAGGGAGAUAUGAAACCAAUCAAUUUACGCAUAGAAAGGAAAAGCCACACUACAGUACAAUUAUGAAAAAAGUAGCAGCUAAUAUAGUCAUUUUGAAGGUAAGAAGAAUUAAAACCAACUAAAAAAUAGUAUACCUAUAGAAGAAGAACCCAAAAUUUUUUGCAGCGGUCACAAGAGCAGCCUCAUCUGGUGAUGCAGCUUGAUAUGUGAUUUUAUCUGGAGAUUCGUUGCCUUCUGGAAGAACAGUAUGACAUAGUGCAAGACAUCUGAAGAAUUCCUACACAGGAACAUGACCAACCUGAGAAUAAAGUCCUCGUCCAAGAUAAGUGCUAAAAAAAUUGGAGGAAAAACAAAGUAAUAAAGUUCACUGUUAUAACUGAAUUUCAUGUUCAAAUGAGUGCAAGGUCACCAUAUUGAGGAUGAAGGUAAAAAGAGUGACAGAUGAUUGGGAUUGGACUGUUAAAAAGGACAGAGUGCCACAUGACUCCGUACGAAACAGGUGAGUUGGCAAAAAUUAGAACAAGUUAUCACGAAAGAAGCCAAUGAAAAGGCAAUUCCAAAUACAACGCCCACUAUCACAGUUCCUGAAGAGUUUUCAGCUUCUGAUCUAUUUUAGCUUCCUACAAAGGGGAUGCUUCUUUUCCACUGUUUGACAACAGUCCACCAAAAAAAAUGCAAAAUGUAGAAUUCAUCAGCACUAACGUUUCAAUCUGGAAGUUCUAAGAUAUAUGCUAUGAAACAUUUCCAGAAAGGAAGCUUUAAAAGAACAUUAACCUAUCCGAGUUUUGUAAUUUUUCCUACCUUGCAAACCUCAGGAUCACGCUCAUUUCUCCAUGCACCACGCAUAAGCCUAGCAUCAUCAAAGUUGAAACCUUUCUCAUGCGUUGCAGUAGCUGAUUUGGCCUUUACACAAAUGAACAAAUAUAUACAGCAUUAGUAAAUCGAACUAUAUAAUUCUUCAUUGGACAUUGAUAUUUCAUUAUGAAAAAGUUACUGUCACUGUACGUAAAGGUUAUUGCACCUCAUCAAUUAUCAGUCCAUUCCGUUGUGCUCCCCCUCUUUCUGUUUCAGUAAUACCGGUUCCAUACAUUUCUCCACCAAUUGAACACUUAAAGAACUCCAUCAGGUUUCUCGUAAGUGUGCCUGUUUUAUCAGAAAAUAUGUACUCUACCUGCAUCAAAAAAGCUUUCCAGAUUUAGUGAUCCAAAAUACAGAAUGCUAUCUAGGUUUAUGCAGGCAAAGCAAUUUCACACUCACAAAAGAAGCUUGCUGUCAUUAGAACCAAAUGUAAUGAUUGCAUAGUUGAUCUAGGUAGUUUGAGAAAGACAUUUGCAUACAUAUUUCUACUCCAUUUUAACUCAAUAAUUAGAUGCUUUGUAGAUUUUUUAAAAAAUUUUUAUUAGCUUAAAUAAACAGCUGACCACUGUUCGUUGUCACUUGAUUAUUGUGUACAUAAAGUAAUUGGUACAUUUCAAUAAAUCAUCAACAAACUCUAAAAGUGCAACAUUUCGCACAAUUAUGCACAAAUUUUUACUACUGUACCUUUAAUCAAUAAUCACCGCUAAACAUUUUUCUAGGCUGUGCACUAUGAUAGACCUUGACUACCAGCAUAACAAGGCUGGCUAUUAGAAUAUUGGAUAAUUUUCAGAUAGAAUAUAACAAAGAAAAUCAACGAACAAGUACCAAUCCUAACAGUAAAAGCCCUUUAAGACAAAAAAGUACCUGCCCUAGCUCUUCAUUCAGGUUAGAUGUUCGUGCAAGAGCAGGAGUAUUUGUUUCUAUAUGAUACAUGUGCAAAUCCUUAUUGAUGAACUGAGUAGACUGGAUAAAUUUGAUCAUCUGAUAAAAGUCGCAUCGUUAGCUUGAAAGGUUCAUAAAGAAUUUCUCAAGAACAUAUCACAAAAGGAAUGAAGUAUCCACCUCAAUGGACACAUAGAGAGAAAUCGGGAUGAUAGUUGAGUAAAGUGUAAUUAGAGUAAACAUUGUUAAAAUGGUGACCUGCAAAAGAAAUAGAAACCAUAAAGAAAACGUAAAAGACGGGAUAUACAUAAAUCUAAUCUGCUGCAUUAAUUCAACGAGUUGAUACCACAAAUCUGUUGUUGGGGUUGAACUGAUCUUCCACAUGUCCAAAAAGUCCAAGGUAGUAGUACUUGCGGUUGAUAAACACUCCACUGAGUAAUUUAAGAAACAGUCAACAAGAGCAGUAGUUAAUGAACUAAUAGCAACAAGAUGCAUCAAGACACGAUGUGCUAGGACCAUUUACAAUGAUGGACAAGGGUACACUUUGCCGAAGCAUGCAUACAUAAACUCUGUUUAACUUAUUCUGCAAACUGGAAUACUUCUGAACUUACCUUCCGAUGGCUCCAAUGAGGCACAUUACAAAGAGAGUAGCAAAAAGAGCAAGUAUGAGCUUGUCAAGUUUCCUUUCUAGUGUACUUCUUUUAGAAGGAACAUUCAUGGAAUUCAUCAUAACCUACAGUACGGUGUUGACAGACUGUUAGAAAACAAGCGGAGUUGAGUAAUAAAAAGAGUUCAAUGUCAGUAGAAAGCUUCUAAGAGCACGCACUUUUGUUUCAUGCCCGGUAAAUAUAACAGCUCCAACAAUGUACUCCGUGUUACGAAGGCUGCACCCCUGUGGCAUGAUGACAAUUUUAGAUUAAAGUAAUAGGUAAAAGUUCACCCUACAUGGAGUACAUAUAUGGGUUGACUACAAAGCUCCUCCAUAGAAAUAAGAGGAAAAAAAAUAUUGACUAAAUCAUAUUGACUUCUGAAUGCAAGAAAGCACUUCUACAGUCCAUACACAACGAAGAAGAUGUAUACAAUCAGACAAUAGGAGAUCAAAGCUUACUCUUAGCAAUAGCUGAUUUGGAGAAAGUGGUAGUGUUUGCUUAUCUACAAUAAGAUUUCCAGUAAAUGUAUACAGUGAAUUGUUUGGUUGCUCGCAUUGUAUUUCUCCUGUUCGUCAAAAGGAAACUCAACAUAAAUUACACCAGAUAAUCAAGGAGAUAAGAAACUAUAAGCACAAAAUACUGCCUUCAACAGGAAUUAAAUGUAAGGUUGCACUAUGAUUUAUUAAUUACAUAGCCUUGAAAUGUAAAAUCUGCACUUCCAGAAUCAAACAGAAUCUGUUGCAAAUUUUCAGAAAUUCAUCAUCAAGACUACGACAAACACGAUGAGAAGGUUCCAAAAGGAGAACAAAGUUUGGAGAACUGUCAACAUUGUGGAAGAAGAUAGGGAACUUACAGAUGUGAUUGUGAAUGUGUAAAAGAGGUGAAGAGAUCACAAUUAUUAAUUUAGUGUUAGGAGAAUAGUAAAAUGUAUUAGAACAGAAUACUUUAGCAAGGAAAAUCUAUUAAACAAGGAUAAACCAAACCUUUAAAUUCAGCAGCUUUUUCAGGAAGCAAAUAAUCCCAAGUCUUCUCCAAUGCCUUUCGAAUUUUCAAAUUAGUCUCCCCAUCAAGAUUUGCAGUCUAAAACCCAUGAAUUAACUAUAAUCAGUUUCAGUGGUAAUAUGAAAGAUUUAUACAGGCAUACAUCAUUGUUCAUCGGUCUUAUCUUACAGAAGCUUCUCAAGCAUAUAGAUGGAAAAGUAUUUUUUCUGAAAAAAGAAAACCUCAACAUAGCAGACACCGUCAGGAUUUGUACUUGCAAGGAACAGCAAAUCAGCAGGGAAAAAAUCGUCUUGCUUAACCUGCUUCAAACAUAUAGAGCCAUUAUAAGCUCUCCAUUAUCAUGAACCCAAAAAAAAUUCUAUAAUAGAAAAUAACAAAACACUCAAAUAAUAUCUACUAACAUUGAGUAAAACAACAGCAGCAGGAAAUUGCUUUCAAUAUUGUUAGAUUUAUCAAGUAAAAUUUUCAAAUAUGCACUUCUGAAGAAAAUAACUGACAGACAAGGCACACAAAUAGUUUUCACAUCAGAAAACAGAAAACAUACACUAGAACUCUUUAGUUACAAAUUUUCUGAUCUAUAAAGCAAGUUAAUUACUAUAGGACUUAGAGUAUCCUCACUUUAGGGGACAUCUUAACUCACUGAUACAAUUCAAGGGCUUCUACCUAACCACCCAGCCACCUCAUAGGUGAUUCCUGUUGCAUUCAUGCAAGCCACUCAUUUGCUUCUUGACUUUUAUGGUAUUGACAAUUGAGGACAAUUCAUCAAAAUUAUUAUGAAAUUAUGCCAUUAGCGAAUAUAAGCAGUAAUUGGUAGUCAAAUAAUGAUUUUUAACAGCUACGGCUGGCUGAUUUGGCAUAAAAAUCUCUCAUGCGACCACCAAAGGCACACAUCCCAUAUAAGCACAAACCUAACAUGCAGACCACCAACUUUGAGAGUUUCAAUAGUCUCAGGGAAAACAGUAACAUGCAAAACUACCAAAGGAUGAAAAGUUAAAAAAAAAAAAAAAAACCUUGCCCUUCAACCUAUUUCUCAAUUACUCCCUGAGUAAAAAAUUGCAUCAAUUUCAAACCUACACCUUUGACGAUAUCUCAAAUAGGUCAAAAAUUUUGGGAUGAUUGUUAAAUUCAGAUGCAAAACUUCACGGUGAUGGAUAAGCACAUGACAUUGCUUAUAUUUAACAGAGCAGAAUCACAUAAAGUGAAUCAAUCUUCGAAUAAACUACUAGGUUUGGUUAUUCCAGCAGAGAAUUUUUUAAUCGAGUUUUAAAACUAUGAUCUAGAUGCAAGUCAGAUGUCCAAGUAUAGAACCAAUGUGAUAUGCCAACUCAUUCUAGUGAAGUAUUGCAUCUGAAUACAACAAUGAUCCCAUUUUUUUUCAUCCUAUCUAACAUAGUGGUAAGUGCAGGAUCAAAAUCAAUGCAACUGCGAUACAAGGGGCAAUUGAGAUACAAGCUAGGGUGCAAGGGGUUACCAUCAUGAUGAAAAGUUCACGGAUUUUACCCUCACAAUAUCUCCAACUUGCAACUUCUUCCAGGGAAUACUCUCCCAUUUUUGACCUUGCAACACAUCAACAGGAGUACUAUUGAUUGUUAUAUCAUUCUGGAAACGCUUCUGCAUUAUGAAAUACAUAAAAUAAUGAGAUUAUCUAAAUUAAAUAUCAAAGUCAUCUUGAAGCAGAGAUCAUCAAAGGACAAACGGAAACAGAAGGGUAAGCAUUACAGACCCAGUCCUCAAAAGCCUCCUUGAUAAGAGAGACCAAAAGCACUAGACUAAGUGGGACCACAUUGGUCACUGGAUGCACCGGACUGCAAGAAAUAAUUGGUACUUUAGUAGAAAGAACAUGACACCAAGAAAAAAACACUUAAGAGCUUUGUGUCAAUUAACAUAACCAUCAUUGCAUGUAUUCUAGGAAAACCCUUUGUAUCUGAAAGAUUAGAACUGAAAUGCAACUAUAGUGUCAUAUGUGAAUAUCAUUCCUGCAGCUAUUUGGGAGAAUAAAGAUACCUGAUUGGUGUAGUAGAUAAGAUAGAUAUCAUUAGAAAGUACAGAUUCGCCACCCGCCUGAACUGCCAGAGAAAAUAUGGAAAUUCUCAGAUAAAAAAAUUAGAAUGAAGGUACAAAAUCCAAAUAACUGAACAUGUGAAAACCUUAGUGAUCUUGGGUUGAAUACGCUAACUCGAGUCAAUUGAAAAGGCUUGAGGCUCACAGUUAUUUGUUAUUUGGCUAAUUUAAAUGAAUUAUUAAUCCUAGUUUACUUGAUUCUUAUGAUCAGAGUGACUUGUUCCAGUGAGUUUUCUAUAUCUAAUUAAAUGAUCAUCCUACUCCCAUUUUACUUAACAAUCGUGCAGUUAAAUAGUAAUUGAAUGGGCGACAACAAAGUCAUAAAGCAUUUCUAACAUAUGAAUAUAGUACGUUGAGCUACCUGCCAUACGAAAUCAUUUAAUACACAUACAAGGGCUAAAAUCUAAUUUAGUCAAAUUCAUAUAUUUGAUAAAUUCAAUUCACAUCAGUAUAUUUUUAAGAUACAUGAAUUGCCCGGUCGCCAUGUUAACUUGCCACAUUAAAACAUUUUGGGAAAAUUUUCAAAGUUGAGAUAUUAAAUAGCAAAAGAUUAGAUAGGGUUAAGGCUUGAAGAAAUUAUAGUAUCAGAAAUCUAUACAAAAAUUUGACAAAUGAAGUACCUGCUCAAACAAUCCUUUAGGUAGAAAAGUCAGGACAUUGUAUUUGGUAGUCGAAACGGAGUUACCCUGAAAAUAGGAUAAGAGUGAAAACAAGAGUUAUCAAAAUAUAGAAAUCAUUUUAUCCAACCCAUUCUUUCUUUCUUUUUUUAAACGAUUAUCUAGUCAUAGCAGGAAAGUAAAUUUUUACUCGCAAAAUUUGUAUGAAAAGCACAAGCAAAUUAGACGUGUAAUGACAAAUCUCGCUUUUGGCAUAGCAGGCCUCCCAUUGGAAGGCCCACACAAUUUCAGGGAAACAGAUGACAUGGUAGAGCAACACAGUGUAGCCAUCAGUGCAAAAUCUCUGGAAAGAAGAACAAAGGGUGUAAUAAAACAAAUGGGCAACCAAGAGCCAAAGCUAAUAUCAAACAGUUAGCAAGAAGAUGGGUAACUGUAAUACAAGACCACCACAGAAAAUACUAUGUAUGAAAUGUACAUUCAGCAAAGUUGGAAAUUCACAAUCUUGAAAGAGUACAACCUAGCUUUUUCUUUUCCUUGACACUGAUUCUGUUUAAUCUUAAACAGUAACUUGCAAGGCUAAUUUUUUGUUAUCUUGCCUAAAUUUCAGUUCUAAUAUAUUAUUCCUUCCACAAAUCAACCAAUAAACCGCAUAUAAUGAAGAGAAACAAAUGCGAUUACACCAGAAAAAAAAAGGGACAUGUUGCAAGCACCUACUCAUUCUCAAAGCUCAUUCCUUCAUCUUACAUUUGGGUCAAAGAGAUAGACAGAGAACAAAGAACCAAGGAAAAACAAUAGAGUGCCUAUUCUAAUGCAUCGCCAUAGGCCGUAACAACAAUGAAACAAAUAACCAAGCCCUCCAUUCUUCUCCCCCUGAGCAGAUGCUUCAACCCCCAAGUGCGUGUAAAAUCAACAGCCUAUAGGAGACUGGGAAACUAGAUGCACGUGAUGCUGUUUAAAAUUGCUAUCCUCGGAAGAUUUGCAUUCUCAUUCCUAAAAACAGUUCAUUCUCAUACAUUUUCAACUUUUUUUACCAUAACCCAACAUACAUCCAAUAUGCAAAUCAAUAGUACAUUCGUAAUAGACAGUAACUAACUCCUCGAAACAGAAUCCAGAGUAGAAUUUGAAACUUAGACCAACUAUAGUUGCUUUCCCAUUAAGAAUCUUACAGUAGCUCAAUGUUCUUUCAUUUCAUUGCUCAGCUAAAACUAUUAUCCCUAAAAGGCUAUAAUAAGAAUUAUUGUUUUCUUUGAAAAACAGAUUCUACUUACUUAUGUUCACGGAAACAUCUAAUUACCAGCAUAACACACAAAAUAAACGCAAAAUUCGUAACAAACACUAAGCAAAGCAACGAAACACAAAAUGAAAACAUGAGAAGCAAUGAAGAAAUAGAUCGAAUCUAACAAAAAGAAGGUCAGAAAAACGUAAAUACAGAUACGAUCUGAGAGAUCGAUCCUACCCUGUAUCCAACGGGGAGAUUCGCCUCCCGAUCGUUGCAGUAUAUGGUGCGGUGGCUCGGCGCCUGCGGCUGCACCCGCCCCAGCCGCACCGUCCUCGACGACGCCUGCCGGAGCUCCGCCGCCACCGACGCCGACGCCGACGCGGCGGCGCCGGCCCCGCCGCCCCCGCCGCCGAAGCUGCGCGACGACCCCCUUGCCCCCUCCCCGCCGAGCCGCGCCGUCGCAACCCUAACCCUAUCCCAUCGCUCGCUCAUCUCCACGAAUCCCGCUCGGGGGAAACCGAAUCAGCGAUCGACGUUGCCAAAGAGAUCCGAUCCGGGAUCUUCGCCUCAAUCGCGUCUCAAUUCAUUCGCGAGAUCGAGAGGAAACGCAGAGAAUCUCAUCUUCGAGGAUCUUUUCUUUCUUUUUGUAUCCUCUUCUUUUUCGCUUUUUGGUUCGUGUUUUGUAUUUUGAAUGGAGGGUUUCAGAGUCGUCGUCUUCCUCAACAAGAGUUGGUGAUACACGGUUCGAGGGAGGCGAAUCGUCUCACGCAGUAUAACGAAUCCAGGAGGAAUAUUAGCCGUCUGAUGGAAACCGGACGGGUGUGAUCGAUGAUGAUGGGCUGAAAACACGGGUGGUGGUCGUUCCUCCUCCACGUGGAGGAAACUUCGUGGACCCGGUCCACCACGUCAGCUGAGGAGGGAGCGUGGAAUUUCAACUUUGGUGUAUUUAACCACUGAAAUGUUGCUUCGAUAUCUGUGUCAUUUUUUUUAUUUUUUAAAACUAUAAUUUUAUAUAAUUUAAUCAUUAUUAAAAAAUUCAUUAUUAUAAGUUUAGUACAAUACAUCCCAUCAAACAAUACAUAAUAUUUUUAGAAAAAAAUAGAAGCAAAAAAAAAUUUAUUGCCAAAUAAAUAUUUUAGAUAAAAAAAUUCAAGUAAUUUACUGUCCACUCCCACACUCUUGCUAUAUCAAAUUCUGUUAAAAUAGAAAAUAAAUAUAAUACUAAACUAGGCCUUAGUCUUUAAUUUUUUUAAAAAAAAAUAAUAUAGAUGAAAAUAGCAUUCAAAAUAAUAAUUUUAUCUAUUUUUAAAAUUUAGAUUUCUAAUAUGAAAAAUUCUUUAGAGAAGACGUGAUAGUUGUCUUUCUAUUACAUGGAAGCUAUUGACUAAAUCAAACACAUUACAUACAAUCUAAAAUACUAUAUAAAUUGGUCUAUACGUUACUGCAUAUUAUAAAAAUAAUAUUAUGAGAAAUUUGUAAUAGUGUUAUUUAAAAAUAUAAACUAUUUUAAAUGUUGUAAACCAUGUAUGAUUUUUUUUAAAAAAAAUCACUUUGAGACCUCUAGAGUAUAUUUUAGUAAACCACCAUAGGCAGCAAAUGGAGGGUCUAGAUUAAAAAAUAUGAUAUAACAGAUGAGAUAUAAUCUAAAUCUAGUCCUCCAUAUCAUGCAAGAAAUAAUCAGUUCCACAUAUCUUGAUUUUUUCUCAAUAAUUUACAGUAAUAAAUAGCAUAUAUAUAUAGAGAGAGAGAAAGAGUAGAGCUACUAUGCUAUUGGAAGUAUAGAGGAUGUGAUGCUUCCAACUUUUUGGCCCUUAAAUCAGUCCCUUUAAUCAUUUUUAAUCUUUGGAUUAAUACUAUUACCAAGUGGAGACCACUCAACCUUAGGGGGACAGCAAUUAUCCUAACCGUACAAUUAUUAAUCGAAUGGUCAAAAAAUCGAAAGCAUCAAAUCCUCUAUACUUCCGAUAGCAUAAGAGCUCUACACUAUAUUUAUAUAUGCACAUUAUUGUAUAUUAUUUGAAUAAUAUGUGAAAGCAAAUAAGACUUGAAUACAAAUCCGAAUUCAUUUAAAGCGGAUAUGAUAACGAAAACUUUGCAAAAUAUAAAUACGGAUAUGAUUUCGCCAAAAUACGACCGUAUUCACCCCUAGGUAAAGGGUGACAGCCUUGUGUGGGGCAUGUUUGUUUCAAUGUAAGUAGACUUGGGAUAAAAGUGGACUUUGGGUUGAAGUGAAGUUUAGGAAAAAAUUAAUUCACUUCCGCUGUUUGUUUCUAACUAUGAAAGUACAUUUCUGUUCUUUNCAAAUUUUAAAUAUAUGUUUUAAACUAAAAAUAUUGAAAUAUUAAUUCACAUUUUAUUCAAAAUUUAAAAUUUUGUUUUGAUCCACCUUAAUAAAAAAUUUUAAUUACUAAUUCAAAUUUAAUAUCCAAAAAUUAUUUAAAUUAUAUAAUUAAAUUUCAACUCUAAAUUUUAGGUAAAUAAAAAUUUAAAAUGAAAUAAUAUUAAAAUUUAGGUAUAUAUUUGAAUUAAAUUUAAAUUCGAUUAUUAAUUGUUGUAACAAUAAAAUAUUAGUAAAUAGAAUAGAGAUAAUAUAUAAAUAUUCAUUGUCAAAAGAAAAAAUAUUGAAUGAUAAAAAUAUGUAAAAAAAAUNUAUAUAUAGUAUAUAUAUAUAUAUAUAUAUAUAUAUAUAUAUAUAUAUAUAUAUAUAUAUAUAUAUAUAUAUAUAUAUAUAUAAAAGAUGAAAUAUUUAAAAAAAAUGAAUAAUAUAAAAGAGCUAUUUAUUAUGUAAGGAAAAAUAAAUAAAUUAUUAUGAGUUUAACGCGUUGACGUUUCUUUGUUAUGCGACAUUUCGCACUAGGACCGCUACAAAUGUGCUUUUGAAGAUCGGUCUACCGUGGACCCGGUCCGGGCAACGAUUUCAUUACCUGAAGCGAGGCGAGAUUGGGUGGUCCACAGAUGACGUGGUGCACCAGGUUCAGAAUUAGUUCCGCGAGUGGGUGGUGGCACAGGUGGAGGAACCGGUUGACAAAUCACAACCCGGGUAAUUUGGUGUGCGCACCCAAAAAGGUCCCCAAUGUUUAAUAUUAAAUGUAUGGUUAAUUUCAUUCAUGUUUCUGCAAACACAGUGAAUAAUAAAUAUAUACCUACAAAAUUCAACUUUCAUUUAUUGCCACUGUAAAAGUCAUAAUGUUUUCAAAUACGUCCCUCUAGUUUGUUACUGUUAGAUAACCGUUUAUAUUUUCUAUUUUGUCAUCACAAAUAAAUUUCCAAAAGCCAUACUAGUAUAAUAUAAAUAUAAAGGGAUAAAAAUGUCAAAAACUAACUAGGGUUAAGUAUUUAAUCUAUGGUUAACUAACUUUUUCUAACAAAUUCUAACGGCAGGGACUUAUUUGAAAACAGCAGGACUUUUGCAGGAACUUUUUCUAACAGAUUCUAACGGUAGGAAUAUAUUUGAAAAUAACAAAACUUUUGCAGGAACAAUAUAUAAAAAUUGAAUUUUGUAGGAAUAUAUUUACUAUUCAUUAUGUUUUCAGGGACAUGUAUGAAAUUAACCCUAAAAUGUAAAGAGGCCCUCUCAACUUUAGUAGAUCUUGAAAUAGACCCUUCAAAUUUAAAUUUAAUUUUGGAGCUUGAGCUUUAUGUUAUUUUAGUUUGAUUAUUUAAGUCAUUUGAGUUAGAAAUUUUGUUAAACCUGACCACUUUGCUAGCUAUUACCAUUAACCCUUAGAAAUAUCAACAUUUUAUCGGCGAAAAUACUAAAACAACGGUCAAAUUUAAUGCAAUCGCCACUAAAUUUAGUAAAUUUAGUGAAAGUUAAGAGGGAGUCUCAUCAAAAAAAAAAAAAAAAAAAAAAAAAAAAAAAAAAAAAGAAGCCCACAAGAACUUCUUUAGCAUGGCCUUGGAAUCUCCAUAGUAUAAAUUAUUAUCUACAAAAUAAGUAUAUUUAUAUUUUCUACUUUAGUAGAUCGAUCAUAAAUAUUUUAUGCGACAUAUCUUUUUUGAAUAAAUUCAAACAUGGCGCUUUUGUUUUUCGUUUAAAUUGCUUGAAACCGAAAGUAAAAACAAAAGUUUCGAAGAGUUUCUAAUUUUGGGAUUCUACAUCCGAUUCAAACAUUCUAUUUUAGUCACAAGAUAUAAACUUCUCAUUUGUUAAAUCAUUAAUUUCCGUUUUUUUUUUUUUUAACUAGACAUUUAUUUAAAAUCGGGCUAAAUAAACACUAAGUUAUUAUAGCAAACACUAAUGAUAAUGAUAAGCAUGAUGUAUUGCUUCGCAACUCAAACAACAUUAGUCCAUUUAUACCAUUCUAUUCUAAGCAAAUGUGCGUACAUAUAAAUGAUGUACAAAGCUUAUGCAUAAUAAGUAAUUUUGUGGAGUUGAGCUGAAAUGCUAUUAAUAAUAGACGGGCUCAGUUGCUAUCGAUUUAUUUUUGAUGAUGAAGCCUCCAAACCAACGAUUGAUACCGUUGAACACGAUCUAAACAAUUUAAACUAUUUGAAAAUCAAAUUUCAUACUUUUGUGAUAUUAUUCCCUUGUCUAUCAAGUAGACAAAGAAGAACGAUUGAAAAUAAAUUUUCUUUAAAAAGAGAUGAUAGGAGUCUUGUUCAUAAGAUCAAGAGUGUAGAUCAUUUUUUAAAUAAUUUGUUAAAAAAAUUUAAUCAAAAUUUAAUUAAUUUAGAUAUCUUUACGCAGUUAAACGAGAAAAUGCUUUAUACCAACCAUUAAAAUUACAAAUUUUGAAAUACUUUGAUUAUUAAGUCAAUGAUGCCGAAAAGAUUUGAAACUUGAUUUUUAAAUACUUUAAAUGGUACAGAUCAUAUCCAACAGUGCCGAUCGUCGAUUUGGAAAUCUUAUCAUCGAAAACAAAUCGGUAGCAACGGAACUCAUUUGCUAUUAAUAGCAAUCCAGUUCAACUCUAAUUUUGUAUAUUUAAAACUCAAUCCCCACACUUACUCUUCACUCUCAUAGAGAGGUGAUUCACUCCAUUUAGAGGGACAAAAAGUAAUGACAUACUCUUUUGAGUAGCAGUUCACUAGAGGAGGGGGAGAGUCAUAAGCAUAGCUAAAGUAAGAGGGGCAAGCAUCCUUGAACAUCUUGGAGUACAUGGUGGGCUUGCAGGUCUCUGGCGUUCCAUAAGAGUUUCUGCAACAAAACACGUCGAGAUCGAACGCCAAGCACGCGCUCUUGCAGGCGACGACGGCGCCACCGCUGCCGUCCGUGACGCUCAGCUCUCUCGGGCAGACGCUGUUAGGGCUUUUCGUGCAACCGUUGAUCAGGCAGUUGCGGUCGGCCGGCCUGGUCGAGACGGCGAUCGGCAGGUUGUAGCCGUCGACCAGGCUGACGUCGUAAAAGCUGGGCUUGCUCUCGUCCUCUUGCAGUGAAACCUGCACCAGGAAAUAUUACGAAGUCUUAUCAUAAUGUGAAAAUUGUUACAAAAGUACUAGUUCGAUUGCAAGUUCGUUCUUAUUUAGUCUAUUUGUAAUAGUGAAAGACUGAAAUAAGCUUCUAAGUAUUUAUACGAUCAUAACAAUGUGAUUGCGUCUUUAUACUAACUUCUCAGUUAAGUGCUUCAGUUUUCGUAGUUCCACAUUUAUCAUAUGCUUACUAUGUUCUUUACUAUCGAACAAAUCUUAUUAUAAAUUGUAUAAUAAACCACUUUUUUGCCCCUUCACCUACAAAAUGACUUAUUUUACUUUUCUUUACGCGUUUAAAGACUUAUUUUACCGAAACAUUAGGCUACAUUUAAGAAUUAGGGACUAUAAUGAAGUAAAGUAUCUUAGUUAUGACACUCACGUGCUUCAACCUGACUCAACAUAUCUACACGAUAGUUUUAUUGUUAGAUCUCUUGCCAUUAAUUGAAUAUAUAUUAUGAACCGUGAUUCUAUUUAAUUUAUUAGUAUUUUGAGCCUAUUGUUAUUGGGCAGAAAGUUAAAACUUAUUUUAGUCAGUAAUAAAUAUACAACAAUCUAAAGUGUUAUUGGAAAACAAAAAGAAGAAAAAAUUUUAAUUAGAAGUACCUCCACAAGAGUGGCUGGAGGCAUCCCAAUAGUGCCAUUGCAGGAAAGCAGGCCUUGACAGUCACCAGUUUGGCAACCUGCAGGUUCUGAGCCCGAGCCCGAACCCGAAUCCGAACCGAAACUGCACCCGGUGCGGCCCCAGAACCGCCCGCUCCACGUCGGCGGGGCCUUGACUUGCUUGCCCUGGCCCGGCUGGAGGAGGAAGCCGCCGCCGUCCGCGAUCACGGGGUGGCCGGUGUUGGGCGCCGCCGCCGGCCACACGCGGAACGGGCACUUGUUGAUGACGUGGAAGCUGACCUGGCCAUCCACGUGUGCAUCUGUCGGGAUCGAGAUCAAUUUACUUUUAGUUUGUGUAUUAUGUGAUAUUAAUUGUAAUUCAAUCCCUACCUUUAUGGUUUACUUUUAGGGGCUGUUUGAUUUUUUGGAAAAAUUUUUUGGUUCCCGGAAAACUACAAGUUGUUUGGUUUCCGAAAAAUUAAUUUUUUUUUUAAAAGAAAACUACUCUUUCUAGUAAGCUAUAAAAUUAUUUUAUGGGUUAUUUUUGAGAAAACCAAACACCUCCAUACUAUACUAUNUGACGUGGAAGCUGACCUGGCCAUCCACGUGUGCAUCUGUCGGGAUCGAGAUCAAUUUAUUUUAAGUUUGUGUAUUAUGUGAUAUUAAUUGUAAUUCAAUCCCUACCUUUAUGGUUUACUUUUAGGGGCUGUUUGAUUUUUUGGAAAAAAUUUUUGGUUCCCGAAAAACUACAAGUUAAGUUGUUUGGUUUCCGAAAAAUUAAUUUUUGGAAAAAAAAUUUUUUCAUGAAAAACUAUUUUUUCUACAAACUUUUGUUUUUCCAAACAAAAAAAAAAAUCCAAAAAAUAAAAGCACUACUUUUUCCGUAAAAUCUGUUUUUUUUAAAAAGAAAACUACUCUUUCUAGUAGGCUAUAAAAUUAUUUUGUGGGUUAUUUUUGAGAAAACCAAACACCUCCGAAGUAAAAAAUAUAUAUAUAUAUAUAUAACAGCCACCAUUUAGACAAUUAAAACCAACAAAAUUAGUAAUCGAAAUCCUAACUCAUAACUGUAAUAAUAAAACUAUAUAGUAAAUAUAUGUGUUACAUUAAUGAAACACUUUUUUUUUUUUUGGUUACCUAAGAAGAUGAAAUGCACCAGGAGGAGCCAAGCUAAAGCCAUACUACUCAUCUUUAACACUUCCUUAGUACGAGGGAUCCCCAAAUAUAUAUUCCUUUUGAUGAGUUCAAUGCGUAGUCAUAUAGAUAUUUUAUAUAUAUAUAUAUAUAUAUAUAUAUAUAUAUAUAUAUAUUGUUGAAACUUGUAAGGUUCAACUUUUGUCAACAUACUUGCAUUGUAGUCAAAGUAAAAUCAAUUGAUGUCUCAAAAGAAAAUUAAAAAAGAAAAAAAAAACAAUAAUUUGGGUACCUUCAUGCUUACUUCUAAAGCAUGGUUGGUGAUGAUAUAUAUAUAUAUAUAUAUAUAUAUAUAUAUAUAUAUAUAGAGAGAGAGAGAGAGAGAGAGAGAGAGAGAGAGAGAGAGAGAGAGUGAGUAAGGCUACCAUGCUUUUGGAAGCACGGAGUCUUCCGUGCUUUCAGGUUAUUUUUGAUGUUGCGACUUUUGAAUCGUCGAUCGGCUCCAUUAAACUUGAUCUAGAGUAUUUGAAGUACCUAGAAAAUAAAUUUUAUGAUUUUUUGAUAUCAUUUGCCUAGUGAUCGAAGGGGCUCAAAAUCAAUAAUUUUAAUGGCCGUAGUAAGCCAUUUGCAAGUUUAACGGUGUAAAAAUAUCUAAAUCAUGUGAAAUUUUGAUAGAAAAUUUUUUAUACUAUAUAAAACAAGAUCAAUAUUUUUGAUCUAAAAUUUUAAUGUCAUAUUAUCACGUUUUGUAAGAUUUUUAUUUUCAGCCAUUGAUUUUGAGCCCCUUUAUUCACUAGGCAAAUAAUAUCGAAAAAUCGCAUAAUUUAUUUUCUAGAUAUUUCAAAUACUCUAGAUCAAGUUUAACGGAGCCGAUCAACGAUUCGAAAAUCGCAACAUAGAAAACGAUCUGGAAGCACGAAAGGCUCCGUGCUUCCAGAAGCAUAGUAGCCUCAGUCUAUAUAUAUAUAUAUAUAUAUAUAUAUAUAUAGAGAGAGAGAGAGAGAGAGAGAGAGAGAGAGAAUACUAUCAAUAACAAACGAGCUCCAUUGCCACCCAUUUGUUUUCGUUGAUAGAGCCUCCAAAUCGACGAUCGGCACAGUUGAACAUGAUCUAUACCACUUGAAGUGUUUAGAAAUCAAAUUUCAAAUCUAUUCGACAUCAUUUGCCUAAUGAUUAAAAGGUUACAAAAUUUGUAAUUUUAAUGGUCGAUAUGAGGCGUUUUCUCGUUUAACGGCAUAAAGAUAUACAAAUCAAUUAAAUUUUUGUUAAAAAAUUCUUUAAACUAUUUAAAACAAAAUCUAUACUCUUGAUCUUGACUACAAGACUCCUAUCAUCAUUUUUUAAAGAAUAUUUGUUUUUAGUCGUUCAUUUUUAUGUCCACUCGAUGGAUAAGAGAAGAAUAUCGAAAUGUAUGAAAUUUGAUUUCUAAAUACUUCAAGUGGUAUAGAUCAUGUUCAACGGUGUCGAUCGUCGAUUUGGAAAUUCCAUCAUCGAAAAUAAAUGGGUGGCAACGGAGCCCGUUGGCUACCGAUAGUAUUCUAGCUCAACUCUCUCUCUCUAUAUAUACUGGUUCCUUGUAAUCUAUCUCCAAAAUUUUGUUUCUUGCCACAGAGCUCUCAUACAGCACAAACCAAUUUGAAUCAUUUGAACGAUUUAUUUUAGAUAAAGAUGUACGGAACUUACUUGAAUUUCGGACCAUUUUGAGUUAGUUACAAUUUUUCAAUAUUUUGAUUUUACCAUUGAACCUUUCACUUUAUUUAAUUUGANAGAGAGAGAGAGAGUUGAGGUAGAAUACUAUCAAUAACAAACGGGCUCCAUUGCCACCCAUUUGUUUUCGUUGAUAGAGCCUCCAAAUCGACGAUCGGCACAGUUGAACAUGAUCUAUACCACUUGAAGUGUUUAGAAAUCAAAUUUUAAAUCUUUUCGACAUCAUUUGCCUAAUGAUAAAAAUGUUUCAAAAUUGAUAAUUUUAAGGGUUGAUAUGAGGUGUUUUCUCGUUUAACGGCGUAAAGAUAUACAAAUCAAUUGAAUUUUUGUUAGAAAAUUCUUUAAACUAUUUAAAACCAGAUCUAUACUCUUGAUCUUGACUACAAGACUCCUAUCAUCAUUUUUUAAAGAAUAUUUAUUUUUAGUCGUUUAUUUUUAUGUCCACUCAAUGGAUAAGAGAAAAAUAUCGAAAAUGUAUGAAAUUUGAUUUCUAAAUACUUCAAGUGGUAUAGAUCAUAUUCAACGGUGUCGAUCAUCGAUUUGGAGAUUCCGUCAUCGAAAAUAAAUGGGUGGCAACGAAGCUCGUUAGCUACCGAUAGUAUUCUAGCUCAACUCUCUCUCUCUCUAUAUAGUGGUUCCUUGUAAUCUAUCUCCAAAAUUUUGCUUCUUGCCACAGAGCUCUCAUACAGCACAAACCAAUUUGAAUCAUUUGAACGAUUUAUUUUAGAUAAAGAUGUGCAGAACUUACUUGAAUUACAGACCAUUUUGAGUUAGGUACAAUCUUUCAAUAUUUUGAUUUUACCAUGGAACCUUUCACUUUGUUUAAUUUGAGUUAGUCAACGAUUCUUUCACUUCAAAAGUUGAAUGCAUCGUUUAUUUUUACAGCUUUUGUUAGUAUGCUUUAUAUAAUUUUUGUAACUAUAAGUCAUUAAAGUAAAUAAUUAACUUAAAAUUUAAAAUUAAAGUAUUAUUGACUGACUCAAAUUAAUGAAAUAAAUUAAAAGAUUGGAUAGUAAAAUAAAAAUUUUGAAUGAUUAGAUAGUCGAUUAAAAAUAGUCCAUAAUUUAGAUAAAUUCUCUGCAUUUUACCUACAAGUUACUAUUAUUAUUAUCAAUAUUACUGUGCAAAAAAAUCAAACAAAAUGAUGAUAGGGAGUGGAGGGGUCAUUAAUACUUGUCCUCCUCUCCAUUGUCAAAAAGAAGUUUGACCUUUGUCUAAAUCAAUGGCCAAAGAAUAAUAGGACCAUUUACAUUAUUAUUAUUAUUAUUAUUUAAUCUUAUAGACAUUAAUGUAACACAACCAAGCAAUGGUGGAGUGGUGGAGGGGUGUUGCCUUUGCUUCAAUCUCAAGGCUUCUAGAGGCAAUAACAAUAAUAAUAAUAAUAAUAACUAAAAUAGAAUCCAAGAAAUAAAAAUAUAAUAUCUAAGAUGAUGGGGACAUGUGGUGUAGUGGAAUUUAGGAUAAACAAUCUUUUUCUAUUCUUGUAAAAAUUUGCUUGACAACUUUAUGCAUAUGUAUUGAACAGGGAAACCCCAAAAAUGUACUUUUUAUAAUUUUAUGUAUUAGUUUAAAGGUGUUGAUGCUUCACUUGAAAUUUCCAGACACCUGCUUUUUCUAAUUAUUUUUUUACUUUAUUUUUACACUCUUUUCUCAAACUUCUCCAUCUGAUUUCAUAUUAAAUUAUGUGAUUUGCAUGACUAUAUAUAUUUACAAUAAAACAAGCAGUGCGCACAAAUUAUGUCAAAAAAAAGAUCAAAAUUUUUAGAGAUUAAAUAAUUAAAUCUAAAUAGGGCAUACCUUAACUAGGUAAGUUACAUACAUGAAAUAGUUAUCAUAAUUUAGAAGAUCAGACUUAUAUUAUUUGCAUAUAUUCAUAAUAAUUUAUAGGAGUGCAUGCACAACUGAAAAUUUUCAUGCAUCAGCCAUUAAUCUAUAUAUAAAUUAGCAUUUGUUAUAUAAUAUUAAUUUCUCAAAUAUUUAAAUAUGACUUGUCUUAAUUGACUUAGUCAAGUGAGUGCAUAUUAAAAUGCACAAUAAAUCCUCUGAGUCAACAAAUUAAGAAGAAGCUUAAUGUCUGAUAGAGAAGAAGAAGCUACCACUCAAGCAAAAAUAAAUAAAUAAAUAAGUAAAAACUUCUAUUAAUGCAGUGAAAAGUCAAUUGAUGCUCUAAUGGUUCCAAUAAAAUAGAAGUUAUAAUAAGUAGCUAGCUACUAUGCAUUUUUAUCGGCAAAAUAUAAGCUAUCAAAAGCCUGCUUGGUAUUGAGACUCAUCUAAUGUUAUUAAAUAAAACAGAGUUAUGACGGCGGCUUAUAAAAAUAUGCUUUUCUAUUUUUUUUAUAGAAUAUCAGUAAACAUAUCGUAACUAACUUAUUGCAAUUUGCACUACGUGAUAUUACGCAUAGAAACAAACAAAAUAUUAUUUUAUCGUAUUUUUUCAUCCUACGCAAUAUAAUCUUUCUACAAAGCCAAAAAAAUAACCCUAAAUAAUUGAUAAGUGCUUUUCCAAACAGUUAUACUUUCUUAGCACUUUUCUAAAUAGCUCCAACCAAGUGAAAGUUAGUUCAACUUACUAUAUGUGACAAGUGCUUUUGACACAAACACCACCACUAUAUAUAUUGACUUGAGCCAGUUAGCAAGCUUUCCAAAGAAGCAAAUGUCCUAGAUCAUCAUCAUCAUCAUCAUUAAUACACAUGCAUUACCAUGUCACACCACACUAACUAUGGUGGUGCACCACUCACCACUCUCCUCCCAUAUCUUGCCUCUUAUGAUCUCCUCCCACCACCAAAGGGCUGUUACUCUACAUGUGUCUCCUUGCUCAUAAAUAUAUAUAUAUCAAACACCUCACAAUACCUAUCCACUAACCCAUCAUAUGUCUGUGUACUUUGUUCAUAUAUAUCCUCUUUGCUUUGCACACAAAAUUACCAAACUACCCCUUUGUUUCACCUUGAUGGUAUCUCUAUUUGGGCUAAAUUAUAAGAUUUCCCUUGCACUUUGUCUCUUGUCUUUAUUACUUUCUUGCGCAGAAGUAAUUUUGCUUCGACUUAAACCAUAACUUAAAUAUAUAGAUUAGAAAAGUUGGGAUAUUCUAUCCUUAGAUUCAGAUUCAAAACUUCAUCUCUAUCCUUAGAUUCAGAUUCAAAACUUCAUCUAUAUGUAAACUUAAAUAAAAGAGAUUUUCUUAAUUCCUUUAUAAGAUAUAACAAUUAUUACUCUCUUACUUGUUCCAGCAAUCAUAAAAAAAUUUAGACCUGUUUGACACAAUAUGUGGCGAAAUACACGAUGGGUUCAAAUUAAAGCGAAAUUUUACAUAAGAGGAUAACUGAAACACAGAAUAAAGUGCAAGAGAGAAUUUUAUAAUUUAGUCCUUAAUUUAUCAUAAAGAGGGCAUUUUGGUCAUUGUGAAGAUAUUUAAAUGAGAGAAUGGGCCCUACUAUAUAAUUAAAGUGUAGCACUAACCUUAGUGGGGGAGAGUGAUGUUAGGUACAUAGCCAAUUGCAUUAAUAAGAAGUUUUGUUUCCUUCCUAGCUUUUUUUUCUUUUUUGGACUUUGCUCUCCAUGAUAAGAGCCUUCAUAAAAGGAGAUCAACUCAUGUCUCUUUUUAUUGUAUGCUAACAAAUGGUAUAGAGAGAGAAAGAGAUCCAAGAGAGAGAGAGGACAUGGAAAGAGUUGCAUCUCUUCAUUUGCUAUUGCUUCUAUUUUGCUUCUCUUAUCUCAUCUUCUCCUCCCAUGCAAUACCUUCAACAAGUAAUUCUCUAAAAUGUUUUUUUUUCCCAAAAAAAGAAAAAAUUUACCUCUACUCACUUACUGGUCAUUCAUAAUUCUCUAUCUAUAAUGUUAGCUACCAAUUCAGGGUCUCAAAGAAUGGUGAAGAAAGGCUUUCCACCUUCAAGUGGCACAACUCAGGUGAAUCAAUUUUUGUAGAUGCAAUAAUUCUUCUUCUGUUUUAUAGCUGAAAUUCAAGUUUAACAAUUAAUGUUUGAAGACAAUUAAAUUUAGUCUUCUUCCGAAUUUAUGUUUUGAAAGAGAAAAUUAAUUAUAGUGUCUGCUUUUAUUCAGCUUUUGCUUUCGUUCUAUAACAAUUAUCUUUAGUAGAGUGUUUGACAAAUAAAAAUGUUUAACAUUUAUGAUUCUGAUAAAAAUAGAAGUUUCUUGAAAUAUUAUAUUAAUAUAAUGAUUGAAAUAUUCUAUCCUAAUUUACGUUUUGACAAAGAAAAUUGUUUUUUUUUUUUUGAGAGAUAGGUAGCAUGUUACCCGCUUCGUUUAUUUCAUUUAGAAAUAAACUUAGCUGUAAAUGUAAAUCAACUAGGAUUCGAACUUGGGUCUCGAGUAAAUCAACUAGCAUUACAAAGAAAAUUAUAAUGUCUGCUUGUACUGUCUCACUUUUGCUUCUGCUGUCUAUAAUAGUUAUGUUUAGUGAAGCGUUUGAUAAAUAAAAAUGCCUAAUGUUUCUGAUUAUGAUAGAAAGAGAAGUUUCUUCAAAUAUUCUAUUAAUAUUUAGGGAUGCAAACGGGGCGGAUUCGGGGGCGGGAGAGUUCCCCCACCUCCUGCUCCAUUUCUUAUCGGGGCGGGGCGGAUUCGGGGCGGGUUACUUUUCAUUUUAUUUUUGGCUCCCACUUACCGCUCCAUUCGGAGCGGAUCGGGGCGGGAGCCGGAUUUUUGACGGAUCGAGGCGGAUUGAAGGAAGAAAAGAGUCUCCCACCUCCCGCUCCAUUUACUUGGCGGAUCGGGGCGGAUUCGGGGCGGGUUAUAUUUUUUUAUAUUUUUUGUUCCCACUUACCAUCCCAUUCGGGGCGGAUCGGGGCGGAGCUCCACCAACCCGGAUCCAUUUGCAUCCCUAUUAAUAUAAUGCUUGAAAUAUUCUAUCCUAAUUUACGUUUUGAAAGAUAAAAUUAUAGUAUCCUCUUGCAUCUCACUUUUGCUUAUACUCUCUAUAACAGUUAUCUUUAGUGGAGCAUUUGAUAAAUAAAAAUAUCUAAUACUUCUUAUUCUAAUAGAAAGAGAAGUUUUUAAAAAUAUUCUAUUAAUAUAAUGCUUGAAAUAUUCUAUCAUAAUUUAUGUUUUGAAGGAGAAAUUUAUAGUGUCCGCUUGCAUCUCCCUUUUACUUCUGCUUUCUAUAACAAUUAUCUUUAGUAAAGUAUUUAACAAAUAAAAAUGUCUAAAACUUUUGAUUCUGAUAGAAAAGGAAGUUUCUUAAAAUAUUCUAUUAAUAUAAUACUUGAAAUAUUCUAUCCUAAUUUACAUUUUGAAAGAGAAAUUUAUAAUGUUCACUUGCGUCUCGCAUUUGCUUCUGCUUUCUAUAAUAGUUAUCUUUAUGGAGUAUUUGACAAAUAAAAAUGUCUAAAUUUCUCAUGCUGAUAGAAAAAGAAGUUUCUUAAAAUUUUCGUUGAAAUAUUUUAUUCUAAUUUACGUUUUGAUGGAGAAAUUUGUAGCGUGUGUCCCCCAUUUGCUUCUGUUUUCUAUAACAAUUAUCUUUAGUAGAGUAUUUGACAAAUAAAAAGGUCUAACAUUUCUAAUUCUGAUAGAAAAAAAGUUCUUUUUAAAUUUUUUUAAAAAAGGACUAAAAUAGUUUACUUUGUGUAAAUCACUGUAGCUUAUGUAACUAUGUAUACUUUGGAAGUAGUAAGUAUUAUUUUGCAUCACAAAAUAGACAAUUUUUUUUCUUUUUUCCUUAGGAGAUGAUAUUAUAGUUAAAGAUAUUAAUACAAAACAAUACAAAUUUUUCUCAAACCGCUUAUUCUGAAAUAUUUAUAGUUAAACUAGAAUAGGAAAAAGAAAUCUAAUGAUAUACUAAAUUUCAAAUAGUGAAAAAUUAAAAUGAGUUUCUGCUGCUGUAAUAAAAAAUAGAUACAAGUGUUUCAGUAAACAGCUGCACAGAAAUAGCACCUUCGUAAAAUCUCUAGCCCUUUUCUUUUUUCUUUUCUUUUAUUACGUUAAAGGUGAGAAUAGUUUUCACUUUUGUUUUUCAAAAACAAGAUGUUUCUGGUGAACUUUGAGUUUAUGAUUUGUUUUGAAAUGAGCAGGUCAGCAAGCGAGGAAAUCGAUUCGAAGAAAUCGAAUUCCGCGGAUUCGGGAGGAUGGAUUUAGAGAUCGAAGACUAUCCGGGAUCGGGCGCGAACGAUCGUCACACGCCGAAACCGCCGGAGAGGAGCUGACUCGAAAAGAGUUUAAAUUUGAAUCAUUUUCUCAGCAAAUGAAAGUCCUUUAAAGAAGUAAUUUUGACUUUUUUUUAACUGCUUAUGCAAAAAAAAUAAAAUAAAAUAAAAUUUGUACUGCAGGUCCAUCUAGUUGAACAAAUAUAUAUAUAUAUACAAUAAUUAAUAUAUACUUAUAAUAGUUGAUACAUAAAAGUAGUGAAGGAGAGUAGAGGAAAUGUGACAACUAAGUCAAGGUGGUUUUAAGAAAGAAAAAUAUAUUUAUGAUUAAUUAUUUGUAGUGUAGACUUGUGAUAUUUUGUAACAGUUAUAUAUUAUGUGUGCCUUUAUUUUAUUUUUUGAAAUAAACUUAAAGCUGGAAUUGUGAAUUAAUUAGGAUUUGAACUUGAAAUCUCGAGUAUCAAUCAUCAAAUUAUUUGCUACUUGUACUAGAGACGGUCGAGUAUAUAUAUAUAUAUAUAUAUAUAUAUAUAUAGAAUGAGGCUACUAUGCUAUCGGAAGCACGGAGCCUUCCGUGCUUCCAGCUUGUUUUCGAUGUUGCGAUUUUCGAAUCGUCGAUCGGCUCUGUUAAACUUGAUCUAGAGUAUUUGGAGUACCUAGAAAAUAAAUUUUAUUAUUUUUCGAUGUCAUUUGCCUAGUGAUCGAAUAUGCUCAAAAUCAACAAAUUUCAAUGGCCGUAGUGAGUCGUUUGCAAGUUUAACGGUGUAGAAAUAUCCAAAUCACGUGAAAUUUUGAUAGAAAAUUCUUUAUACUAUAUAAAACAAGAUCAAUAUCUUUGAUUUAAAAUUUUAAUGUCAUAUUAUUACAUUUUGUAAGAUUUUUAUUUUCAGCCGUUGAUUUUGAGCCCCGUCGUUCACUAGGCAAAUGAUAUCGUAAAAUCAUAAAAUUUAUUUUCUAGGUACUUCAAAUACUCUAGAUCAAGUUUAACGGUGCCGAUCGACGAUUCGAAAGUCGCAAUAUCAAAAACGAGCUGAAAGCACGGAAGGCUCCGUGCUUCCAAUAACAUAGUAGCCUCACUCACUCUCUCUCUCUCUAUAUAUAUAAUAUAUAUAUAUAUAUAUAUGGCUUUUGCUUCUAUUUUCAGCAACAACUAUUUUUAAUAAAAUAUUUAAUAAUUAACAAAUUUUGAACUUCUAGUUUAUAUGGUGUGAAAAUUAGGUUUCGAACUUCUGAUUUCUCGAGAGAAACCUUGAUAAUAGCACUUCUGAGCCAGCACUUCGACAAAUAACACGUACAAUUGAUUUUUCUUGGCCCAAUUGUAGGGUAUACUAACCUUUUGAUGGAGCGAUAUAUGCAAAAUCUCGUUUGAGGAGGCAUUAUAAUAAUUUCCUCUCAAGAACUUCCCUAUAUAACAAAAUCAGAAGCACGGAAUUAGAAUAUCCGCAUUUUGUCCCCCCAAUUAUAUUUUUUAGUUUCCACUACAGUGGAAAUUUUCAGCUAUUUUGAACUUUCAAAUGCCCCGUUAAAAUUGACAUAAUUUUAAGGCGAAAUAGAAACAAAGAUUAGCCUAUUUGACAUGUACGAGCAAAAUAUUCAUCGAAUUUGAUUUUAAUUUUUCGACAUUAAUUUUUAACUAACGGUGCAUGCAAGUUCAUCACUAGCUCAAUAGAGCAUGUCACCAUCUAUCUAUUGAUACAUUGAUAUUCGUGAAAUAAUUUUUUUAAUUAAUUUUAUGCACGCAUCAAAACAAACAUUUCGUACACUUACUGUUUGGUUCUGAAAUAAAUUGUUUCAUUUGUUUUACUAAAAAUUGAGUUAUUUUUAGACUAAAAUACAGAGAUUUUUUUAAUUUUUAAAAAUUUAUAUUUUAUCUUCUUAAAAUUUGAGAAAUUUUUUCAAAAGAUACAACAUUAAUGUAGAUGAUAAACUAACCAGAUCUUUUAUAAGAAAAAAAUAAUUUUUUAAAUAUGUUAUUUUGAAUGAUAUUUUCGGUGUAAAUUAUGAGAAAUAGACGGAAUAGUGAUGAAAUCUUGACGAAAAAUAUUAGAUAUAAAAUUAUAUAAACACCGUUCUCUAACCGCUUAAACUUUUAGACUACAACGGUUCUUAAGGUUUAGAGUACAACGAUUGAUUGAUAUGGUAUCAGAGUAUGGGGUUCUGAGUUCGAAUUAUGUCAGGUUUCUAGCAUUAUUAAUUUUCUUCCAUUUAAUUCAAUUCCACGUCAUGGGUGUUGCAAAAAGUCUUUUGAGUCUAGACGUGAGGGGGAGUGUUAAAUAUAAAAUUAUAUAAAUACUAUUCUCUAACCGCUUAAAGGUUUAGAGUACAAUGGCUGUUUUACAGGAAAAGAGAGUAAAUGUAACAACUUGAAAUAUUAAGUGGUAAAUUAUAGAUUUUUGAAAGUUGAGAAUGAAAAGGUUAAAAAAAAUAUUUAUAAAUUUUU
rnacentral:lncRNA from 1 species